rnacentral:lncRNA from 1 species
UCAUUCAAGCCCUGCUUCUCAGCAUUGUAGUUGUUGUGGUUGUUUUGGUAAUUGGUUGGGGUUGUGGUUGUGGUAUUGCUGCUCUGUGAGAACCUUGUGUCACUUGGGGGGGCCGGGCCGACAUGGUUGUUAAAGUUGUUCUUGCUGGGGAUUAAUUGGGCGUUGUAGGUCUGAGGGUACUUGUUGGUGUGCUGCUGCUCUUUCUCUGACUCAGCUGUAUAUGGCAGGUUGUUGUUGUUGGUGGUGAAUUGUGCACCAUUGGUAGUGGUGUAGGGUGCACCGGUGGUUGUGGUGGUGUAGGGUGCACCGGUGUUUGUGGUGGUGUAGUGUCCAACGGUGUUUGUGGGGGUGGGAGGCAGCUGGCCAGACCCAUGGCCAUAGAGACCAUCGAGACCAUAUCCACUUUGGGUCUCUGGAAUGAAGGCUGGCUCUUGCUCUUGCUUUUUCAAAGGGGUUUCUGCUAUGGGGAUCUCCUUCUCAUAGUUGUUGUGGUUGUUGACAUUGGCCACUUUGCUAAAGAAUUGGUUUUCUCUAGCUUGAGCUUGUUGAGAGAAGAGGAGAGAUGCAAGGAAGAAGAGGAAAGAGAACAAUUUUGCAGCAGAAGCCAUAGUGGCAAGUGAACUUGUUGGGAGGCAGCUGCUGUAAACUGAGUGUAUAUUGUGGGGGAGAGCUAGUGGUAGUCCAUUCUUUAUGUAGAGGACCAUUUUUCUUCUCACCCAAAAUUUUCAACUGAUUAGGUGCAAAUGGGCUGGAGGAUGGGUGAUGGUUUGUGGUCCUCAGUGGGGGCAGAACAACAACAAUAUUGAGCACUCUUUUUUUUCCUUUUUCCAGUUAAUUAGUUUAUUUUGUUUUGUUUUUUUUAAAAAAGAUAUGUAUAUACACAUUUUGGAUGCACUUCAUGCUUUCCAUGGAGGAAAACAACAUAAUUAUCUGCCAUUUUCUCUACUAAGAGCAUUUUUAGCAGUUAACCCCUUGCCAUGGCAAGAGGAGCUCCAAGACAGCUACUAUUCAUGUGAAUAGUAGCUGCCUUAGCCCCCAGCAAAGUGUGUUUCCAACAGUUGCCUUUUGCUAUGGCAAAUACUAUUCAUUUUUUUAUUUUUUUUUUCACAACUUUGUUUACUUAAACAAUUAACUUGGAUAAUAUUUUCGGAAUAGAUUUGGGUUCCUACGUGUCAAUACUAUUCAUAUCGGACAAGAUUUUCGGUUUCAAAUUUCAGAUACAUUUCAAAAUUCAAAUUUCAGAUAAAUUUCAAAUGUCAAAUUUCAGAUACAUUUCUAAAUUCAAAUUUCAGAUAAGAUUUUCACCCUCUAAGAUUGCGCCACGUGUCGUAUCUAUUUGCCUAAAUUUUUCUAUAAAACCAGAGGCUCAGCUCAUACCUUCCACACCAGAUCUUCUCUACAUUUCCAUUUCUCAGAUUUUAGAUUUCAUUCUCCAUUCUCAAUGGCAGACAUGCAAGAGGUUUUGGAGAGGCAAGAGCAAGAAACUAGAGAAAGAAUACGUAGACGAGAGCAAAAGGGCGCAGAGAGAACUAGAUGAGCAACUUGGCAUAGCAGUUGCUUUGCUGGAGGAAGAAAACCAGAGCCGCCGUGGUUCAUGAGAAGGCCGUGGCUCGAAUGUGGACAGACAUAGACAUUCUCGGGGUAAGAAUCUUCUGGAAGAUUAUUUUAUCACUACAAGGAAAAUUCCUUUUAGUGACGAAACAGGAUGGUCGCAAUAACAUCAAAGUUCGUCGCCAAAUAUAAAUAGCGACGAAUAUUUUUGGUUGCCAAGGUCGUCGUUGAAAGCUCGUGGCUAAAGAUACCAUGCGACGAAACAAAAUAUCGUCGCUGAAAUAUUUUAGCAACCAAUUUUGUCGUCGCUAAACAGAUCUAAGUUGGUCGCCUAUCGAGAGUGAGUUGCCGCCAAAAUACCAAAAAUUCCCGCGAACAUGGAACUAUUUGGCGACGAAAUAUUUGGUCGCUUGAACAUUUCAGCGACGAAUGUUUUGGUCGUGAAAGAUGUAGUUUAUUUGUAGCAUAUGUUAGUUGGUUUGGUUAUUUUCAGAAUGGGCGACGAAACAGAUUGGUCGCCAAAUCUGUAGAUAUUGGUAUUGUCAGUUGAGCGAUGAAAACUAAUUCGUCGCCAAAAAAGUAUUGAAUUUUUUUAUAAAUAAAAUAUUUAUUUAUAUUUCAAGCUUUGUAACAGAAUAUUAUUUAGUCCAUAAAGUUUUUGAAAAACAGUAAAUAGAUUAAAUGAAUAGAAAUAGCAUAAUUACUAUUCAAAAGAUACCAGUUGUUUAAGCACACAUCAAUAUAUGCUAGAUACAAAAACCCCCAAGAUAUCCUAGAUACAAAAACCAUCAAGUAGCUAGAUACAGAAGCCCCUAGAACCCCAAGGUAGGCUAGAUACAAAAACCAUCAAGUAUGUAGAUGUACACACAACCUAGUGACUAUUUCCAAUAUCAUCAAGAUCCGCAUAAACAUUACGUGAACCACCACUAUUACCUUGAUCAUCAUCACAAGGAGAAUCACCAACAUGCUGGGACAGAACACCUAAACAUGAGGGUAGAGGACCAUCAUGGGUUCGCAUCCACUCAAUGACAUCCAAAAGUUUACCCACUAUGCCCUGAAGCUCACUUACUGUGCCUUUCAACUCACCAACUGUGCCUUGAAGUUCCUCAACCUUUUGCUCUGUGGCAAAAGAAGAGGCAACUCCACCACUAUGCGCACUCUCCACUCGGAGACUAGAACCCAAGCCUCGAAUCCUCUUGCCCUUUACAACCCCAAGCUCUAUAAUCAUGAUCUCUAACUGUUGUGGGAUAGGGAGUGUGACUUGAUCUAGUGGAGUUCCUGAACUCUCUGCCACUUGUUGCUUGGCCUUCUCAUACUCUUCAUUCAUCUUCUUCUACAAAAAGAAGCAAAAUAAAGAUAUGUCAAUAUAUAUAAAUGCAUAAAAAGAAUGAGGUAAAUGGGAUGCCAGUACGAUCAAUUGUGUUCAUAAACUAGCAAUGCCAAUUAUCCUAAUCAAACAGUCACAAACAAAAAUUUCGUUUCAGCUUGAAGCAAAUAAUAAAAGUAAAUUUAGGUUUUACCCAUAAAAAAAUUUUCACUUUUGGAAAAAGCCAAAGCUUUUUCAAAAAAGACAGAAAAACCUCUCAACUUUCAAACCAAAGACAUGCAAAUGUAAAGGAUUCCUUAGGAAAUCAAAAAAUAAAUAAGGGCAAUUUUGUCCAUUUUGGCUUCUUUUAAAAUUUUUCUCUCUCCUUUGGGCUUUUCCAAAGUCUCCCAAUAAUAAAAGGAAAAGGCACAUAAAAAAAUGGAAUAGAUCUCUUUGGAUAUGCAGAUUGCAGAAAGUUAGAAAAUACUCACAGAUCUUAUAAGAUCUUUUUCUGCAUCUCCUGAAAGCAACGACAAUACAAACAAGAAACUUCCAAAAACAAGGAUUAUAAAUAUUUGCCCAGCAACAUGGCCCCCUUAUAAUUGGGCCUAAAUUUUAACUUCUAAGAGCACAACGGGUUAUUCGAACUGAAUUUGUUUAAUAGGAAUUUGGAAUUGGGCCUCCAAAGAGGAAUCGAAGUACAAUUGUAGCAGCUCUGUUUCAAAACAAUCUUAGCAUGCACUUUUUUUGGUCUUCAAUAUAUAAGAUAAUGGAAAAUUUAGAAAACUCAGACACAUCUUCAUUGUGUUUCUAAUUAAUUAGUUCUAUUUGCAAUGGAUAAAGCCAUUAUAUGAUGCUAAAACCAAAGUACACAAUUAGCAUCUAAAAUAAUAGGUCGUCAAAAACUUGCAUGACCAGUCAGCUGAUUUUUUGGAUUGCAUAAUAUGCAAGUCAUUAGUAAAUUGUCAGCAGGUUUAUGUAUUCCUUACCCCUUUAAUUUCAGCAACCUCAUUGAUCCACAUGCUCUUACUCUUAAGAAUAUGCAUGUUGUUCCAAUUGCUAAUGUAUGUAGGAUUUUCACCCUUCUACAUUUUCCCAACAAAAAGAAAAUGAGAAAUACUUGAAAGUAUUACAAUAUAAUAAAUAAAGAAACAUUUAAAGUGACCAAAAGUUAUAAACCUCUCUAGCAGCUUCCAUAUGUUUUAGGAAAGGACGUGACCCGCCUGUAUGAUCAAACUCUUUCUUUUUUCUGUUCUCAGCAUUGGUCUUGCAGCGUUUCUGUUUUGAUUAAAUACAUGAAUUGUUAUGUCUUUUUUUCUAUUUGAUACUUAGAAUAAGUUCCCAAUCAAAAAAUGAAAACUGCAGAUGUUACAUUAGAUACGUGAUAUUGCUCAUUUGUGUAGAACGUAUCAACCAAAUAAUGCCACUCUUCUAGAGUCCUUCGAGUACCAAAUAUCUUUUCAGGGGGAGGUGUUUCUCGUGCAAGAUCAGGGUUAGAAGCAUAUUGCUUAUAGUGUCUGUGGAGCUUUGCUUUCCAUUCUUUAUAAGUUGAGUGCAUAUAGUCAGUAAUAAAUUUCCAUAUAUCCGGAUCCGUUAAGUCCACAUGAAACAUGAACUAAUAUCAAUUAACCAUAAACAAAACAAGUAUUAAUUAUAAUUUUCAAUGCAAAUAGAAACAUUGAAGGACAAAUUUUUCAGUUCACACUAAAAUACAAUGAAGAAUUGAAAUAAAAAGAGAGCUAAAUGAACAAAAUUAAAUUAUAAUCAAUGAAGAAUUAGAUAAGAUUACCUGCAAACCCAAAGCCAUAUCUUUCUUCGUCUCCAAGCUCACUUUUUUCAUCCCUAAAAUAUUCAAGGGAGCUUUGUUGCGAGUGAUUAACCCAAUCUCAGAGACGAACAGUUUUUGAGCCUCAAUAGUCGCCACCAAUUUCUGGGAUGGAUCCAUCCGUAUUGGAAUCAAACUCUUCCUCUUUUUCACAACAUCACAAGUGCUAGCCCCCACAGUUCGGCCACGAGUGUUCUUCCUUUGUGAAGAAGUUUGAGUAUGCGUUCCUUCAUCUAGAAGAAAAACAAUUCUAAAAAUCAAUAACUUGAUUGCACAAAAUAAAAGUAUAAAAAUUAAGGGCACAAAAUAUGGUAUCAGUUACCUUGUUGGCAGGAACCCCCUCCUGAGGCUGAUGAAGCACCUUGUUGUGGCUGAGUUGAUUGUUGUUGUGGCAGUUGACAUGGUUGCUCAAGUGGCUGUGGUGGUAGUAGAGUUGAAGUUUUCUUCUUCUUAUUGUUAUUGUUGCUUAAGGUAGCAGCCCUCGUAAGUGUCAUUCUACACUUACAAACACAUAAACAAAGAGAGAAUACAACAAUAUACUACUAGAUCAUUCCUUGAUAAAAUAAAAAUAAAUGAUUGAACAUCAUACUUCAGCUGUAAUAACAUCAAUUUUCAUCACAAACGUGCUUGAGAUAAAGGAAUUAUUCAUUAAAAAAUGAUUGAACAUCAUACUUUAUCAAUAGGAAAGAAAAAUAACACUCACAUGCAUUUCAUUUACAUGGGAAGGACAUAUACAAACCUUAUCCGAAGAUAUUUCUUUAAUAUACAGACCUUACAGACCUUACCCCUUAAAACAGAUUAAGGAAAACAUAUAGUAACUUGAAGAUAAUUAAGAAACAUAUAGUGCCUAAACAAAAGACAACCUAACACUUCAAUCCAAUUCCAAAUCCUAUAAUCGUCAAUGUGAACACUACCUUCGUCAUCACCGAAAGGUAUUUGUUCAAUAUCAUCGUCAUCAAUAAAAUCUUCAUCCUCCAUAUAAUUUGGGACAUGCACGGACAUGGAGUCUCAUUCUUCUCAUCAACAUGUUGGCUUGCAACUUCCAUAAAUGACUCAAUACCAACACAAUAUUGAUUACUCAACCUGUUUUUAUUGUGUAUCCAAACCCUGUUCAUCUCUAACGCACCUUGUCUCCGUCUUCUUAUACCUCCUAUAAUGGGCCUUCUCCAAUUCAAUCGGUGAUGACUUGAAGCAGUUCCAAAAUUUCAUAACAUGAUUAGAUCGAACACUUAUAUAGAUACAAGCCAAUAACUCUUUCACAUAAUGAUAAGCUAAUAACUGUUUCACAUGAAAAUUAUAAAAAGAGGGAUUCCACAUUAAUUAUGCUUUUCAAGGGUAAGUAUCAAGGUAACAAUAUUUUUUUUUUACGAUUCUUUCAACAUUAUUUUGCAUAAUCUAGUUGAACCCAUGAAACCAGUGAAAAAAAAUGAAGGCAGGUGCAAGAUUUGCAGCUAUUCAUACCUCUAAAGCAAAUAUAGCCUCUUAAGCAAGUAUUUCAAACAACCUAUUGCCCAAAAAAAAAAAAUCAGUUAGACACAGUAAACCCAAGACACAUAGCCUCUUAAACAAAUAUAGCCUCUUAAGCAAGUAAUUCAAACACCCUACUGCAAAAAAGAAAAAGAUAAAAACAAAUCUGUUAGACACUAUUUUUGGAGGGCUUGAGUCCAAAUUAGUCUUCAAACUCAAAAUAGUAUAUGCCUUCGCCUCUAAGUUUCACCACUCAUCAUUAAACAAAAAAAUUAUUUUUCUGAGUUAACUCAAAACAGUAACAUAAUAAGACAUCACAGGAAGCACCAAAUAUCCAAGAUAAAAUUCUCAACAUAAAACCAAAUGGUUCAAAGUAAUAUUGUAAUCAACACAUCCACUUUAUACAGUGAUAACAUGUACAAUGAAUAAAGUCAGGCUUAAGGUCACAUGUCUCUCAUGUAGUAUAUGAAUUAUCCGAAAUUAAUAAUUAGGCUCUUCAUCUCAAUUCCAAAACAAAUUAUUAUUCUUUAUAGUUCUUAAUUAUAUAUGCCCUAAAUGAUUAUAAAAAUCAUUUCAAAUUAACAAAAAUUUACCCUUGAAGCUAAUUGAAUGACCUUGCGUAAAAUUCAAGCUACCAAUGAUCAUCACAUAAAGCCAAAAUGGUUUGUUAAAAAAGAAAAAAAUGUGGCUGGAAGAGCUUGAAAAGGAUUUCCAAAACAAUCAAACCAACAUUGAAGGAUGAUACUCCAUCAGUUAAAUUCUAUUGUCCAAUUAAGUGGUACUACACUUAGACACCAAUACUAAGGGAAAUAAAAAUAAUUGCUAAACUGACGAGUUAAUCUAUGGGAUGAUGAACCUGCAGCUAGCUUAUAUAUAAAAUAUAGAGACAACUCUGCAGCUAGCUUAAUCUAAACUAUAAAGAUAACUCAAUAAGCUACAUUGGCAAAAAAAAUCAAUAAUAAUAACCACACCAAAAAAAAAAAAAAAAAAAAAAAAGAAGAAGCUCAUAGACAAAGGCAAAGGAACCUUGAAACGAAUACACACCCACAUGACCAACUUCCAACUUCUAACUUUUUACUUCAAUUAUAUAAAUGAAUUGUUAUAUUCUUUCUUCCAACAGAUAGUAAAGAAAUUCAGAUUUAAUCCAGAAGUAUCAAGCAAACAUUCAAGACUUGGAAAAUAAUCAAUCAGACUCAAAGCAUUAAAACUAAAAAACUGAAUUAACUAUUGGGUACGUCUGCAAGUGAAACAUCUCAAAUUUGACACAGAACCCACAUCAAAUGCAAAACAAGGCAUUCAUAUCAGACACAAAACCCUACUCAAAUUUGACAUAGAACCCACAAUAACCACUUGAAAAAUAAACGUCAUUGUAUUCAGAAAACUUGAACAGUUGAAUGUUCAAGCAUUUAAGAUAUCAAAAAGGAAAAAUCAAGCACUGAAAUUCAGUUUCGAUUUAAAUUCCUGGGUAUCUAUUUCCGAUUUUCCUUGAUUAUUUUCUCAACAACCAAAUAGAAUCUACAACUGAAAAUCAGCGAUCAAAAGACAAUGAAUGUAAGCUAGACAAGGUAGACUCACCAGAAGCUUUCGUUGAAACACACAGUGAGGAGGACUUAGGAGAUGGAGUUUUCGUAUGGCCGUCGAUUCCUGACCGUGGUAGGGAAAGGCAUGCGAGAUGGAGGAUUGCUCUGCCGACGUCGGUGGAGGAUUGCUUUGCCAAUGUGAGAGCAGGGGAGAGUGGGUCUGCGAGGAACUAACGAGUAAGGAACUUUUUAUUUUUAUUUUUAUAUUUAUACUCUCUAGAUUAGCCCCAAAAACUGUUUGGUCGUCAUAUGCUAACAUACAUAAAACAACGUCGGUUUAUGGUUCAAGCACAAUGAUCUGCGACGAAAAACAAAUGGUCGCUGACCCCCGAAAUUUUUAAGCGCCAAUUAUAACUUAGCGACAACACAUUAAAACUUAGCGACCUAAUAUUUUCGUCGCCAAAACUUUUAGAGUUUCGCACGCACCCAAUUCAGUAAAUCGCGAUCAAAUAUAUGUUUGGUCGCCAAGUCCUUACCUAACCACCAAAAACUUUCGUUGCCUUUAGUUGAUAAAUUAGUCGCUAUUUUGUUGACUCAAGUCAUGAUAGGUGUCUAAAAAUCACGAACUUUUUGGUGACUAACUAGAAAAUUUUCAUAGCCGAUGCCCUUUUUGGCAACCAAAAUAUAGUGCGUCGCUAACAAUUUCGUCUCAAAAGAGGUUUUUCCUUGUAGUGUAUCCCACAUUCUCUAUACUCUGAUGUUCAUUUUCGAGCGAGAUAUAGAAUGCAAUCCCAUUUGUUCAAUAAAGUCAUGCAUAAUAUUUGCAAUUAUGAUGAAUACUUCGUUCAAAAGAAAAAUUGUGCUGGAAAUUUGGGACUUCUUCCCGAGCAAAAGUUCAUAGAUGUGAUACGAAUGUUGGCGUAUGAGUCAUCUGCUGAUCAGGUGGAUGAGGUUGCCCGGACAGGGAAGUCCAUUAUUUUGGAGAGUUUGGUGCGAUUUUGUGAUGCAGUGGAAACUCUGUACACUAGAGACUACCUGUGCAGACCUACGCCCAGGGACCUGUAAUGGCUUCUACAAAAAGCUGAGUCUCGUGGAUUUCCUGGAAUGAUUGGUAGCAUUGACUGCAUACAUUGGCAAUGGAAAAAUUGUCUAACUGCUUGGCAAGGGGAUUACGGAAAUAGGAAAGGGCAGAAAAGUAUCAUCUUGGAAGCAGUUGCUGGUUUCGAUACAUGGGUUUGGCACGCCUUCUUCGGAGUUGCCGAAUCUCAAAACGAUUUGAACGUCCUGGGUCAAUCCCCGGUGUUCAAUGAUGUUUUGAGAGGUGAAGCCCCAAAUAUCACAUAUGAAAUCAACAAUACCAUCUACCAGAACGGGUAUUAUCUAGCUAAUGGCAUCUACCCGAGGUGGAUAACAUUUGUGAAAUCAAUUCCACAUCCCCGAUCCCAUAAGUAAAUUUUUUUGCUGCCUAUCAAGAGGGAUACAGAAAAGAUGUGAAGAGGUGCUUUGGUAUCCUUCAAGCCCGGUCCGCUGUUAUUAGGGUCGCGGCGCGUCUAUUUGACGAGGAGGUGCUUAGGAGUAUAAUGAUGACUUGUAUCAUCCUCCACAACAUGAUUGUGGAAUAUGAGUAUGAUUACGAUGCUGAUGAAGUGUAUGACCAGAUCCCAUGGACACGGCCCUAACACGAAUUUAUGAAAAACCCAUAGGGCCAAAUGGAGAGCCAGUGCAGCAUGAACCGUUAGUUAGAGACGGUAGUUUCAUGCCCCGUAUAAUUGAUCGCUACACGGAUAUGCAAUCGUCGUAUAUUCAUGAACAUCGUCAAGUUGACUUGAUGGAGCAUUUAUGGGUAGUGAAAGACAAUAAAGGUGAAUGAAGUGAAGUGAAGAUGUUUUUUUAAUUUAUUAUGUUUAUGUUGUAUUUUUAGUUAUGCUUUAUUUUUUUUAUCCUUUAGUUGUGAUUUGUUUAUUUUUUUAUGCUUUGGUUGUGGUUUGCUUUUUAUGUAUGGAAUGUUUUGAAUAAAAAGUAAUUUUGUUGAAUAUUUUCUUUAUUCACUAAAAGAAAAUCAAUACAACUAAUAAAAUAAAUCAUCCUGUUCUAGAGCUAAAACCAUAGCUGUCCCAAAUUCAAACAUAAUUAUCAUUAAACUAAAACCAUACAGCUAUUAAGUUUUGAAUAGAGAACUUGAUCUGGAAAUGAGAAUUGACAUAGGAACAAGCUACAAGAAGGAAAAAUCUUAAAUUUAUUGAAUUUAUAAAUAUUACAACAGACAAAUUAAUUGAAUCAAUUCAAUAAGAAAUUGGACAGCUGAAAACAAGUCAAAAUGGUCCAGCUAUGACAUGAUACUAGUACAUAACACUUGUCACUCAAAUUGAUUCCACAAAUUGACUAAAGAAAGAUAAAUAAACAAAGGAGCUGAAAAUCUAUUGAGAAAAAUGCACGCAUAUUGCAUAAUAUGAACAACUAUUGAAAGCAACGUAUCUGAAAUUAUUGUUUAGAUAUCUGAAGGUAAGCCAUCUAAGUCUCUUUUUUUAUUGGGCAAAGAGAUUAUCCAUAAGAUGAAAGCAAACAAACAGUAUAAACAUGAAGCCCAAAGAAAGGCGGGAAACACCUCCUGCAACCAAACAGCCAAGAGAAAAAGACGGCUAUCUGAGUCUAUCCACUAAAUACAGAAGGAUCGAGUCUGGUUAAACCAAGCCCUUGUAAAGACAUGAGUACCUUGUUUAUCUUCAUUUGUUCAUCUUCCCCAAAAACAAAAAACGUGAGAAUCAGGCAUAGGAGGGUGGGAUUUUUUUAUGGGGUUUGGUAUUUAUAUCACCCACUCAAAAGUCUCACACAAUACACCAUUUAACGAAAUACCUCAAAAUCGAUAAGUUUUUUAAUACCAACGUACUUUUUCUAAUCUUUUAAAAGUCCUAAUUGAAUACCACAAGACUUGAAUUGAUUAUUUCAGAGUUUUUCUAUUUAAACCUCAUACUUUUUUUUGUUCACCUCAAUACUUAAAUCAUUAAGCUUUUAAGUUUUAUUAUUGUGUAAAAAGACAAAAAAGAACAUCCAACUUAUUAUUGUAUUUAAACCCCAUACUUUUCUUUGGUUGCUAAUUGCUCAAAUUAAGAACAUAAUUUACUGCUAUCAACAAAAAUAAAAAUAAAAACCACUGCGUGCAAAGUCCAGGUAAUCAACAAGCUCUCUCGUGACUGCUCUUCAUUUGUCAUUCAUGAAGACAUAAAGAUACCCACUUGUAAUUCUAUCGCCAUUAUCUUCUUGACUACUUGUCUUCUUCUUUUUCAAGGAGACUAAUCUUUUUAUUUGUCUUCUCUGAAUUUAUAAUUGUUUCCUUGAAGUUGCUGUUAUCUGGGUUUUUUUAUUUUUCUUUAUGGUAUAUAUUUGAAAGGAUCCUCUGCAGUUGGUUCAGUAUUUCUUUAAGUUUUGGUUACAUUUUCCUUUUCUUUGGGGUUCUUAUUAUCUGGGUUCUUGGUGAUUGUUAAUUGUAUUUGUGCAAAUGGGUUUCUAGAGGUUACGUUAAGUAUUUUUUAUUAUUUUUUCUUAUUGCAUUAGUUUUUAUUUUAUUUAUGUUCUUAAGGAUUCUAGUAAUUACUAACUUAGGUGCUUAAAUUCAUAGUGUUAAUUAUGCAAUUUGUUUUCAUUUGGUUCUGGACGACUAAGAUAAAAAUUGGUGGCUUGAGCCAAGUGUGGCUGUGGAAAUUGAUGGAAGCCUAAGAAAAGAAUGAGGAGAGUCGUUUCAGAAGAUGGACCAAGAAAAGACUGAGGUGCCUAAAACUCCUCCAGCACUAAACACCCGGAGAAGGGCUCCGGUUGCUUCUGGUCGACAUAACACCACACAGAAGGAGAAAGUGGGGUGUCAGGUUGUUGAAAUUUUUUUAAUUAUUUUUUCUCAUGGGUGUGUAUUUAGGGGUAGUUUGAGAAGACAUUGAGGUUUACUUAGAAAUUGUGAAAAUUUGAAUUAAAAAUGGGAGAUUUUGGAAAAGUCCAAAGGAGAGAGAAAAUUUUUAAAAGAAGCAAAAAUGGACAAAAUUGCCCUUAUUUAUUUUUUGAUUUCCUAAGAAAUCCUUUACAUUUGCAUGUCUUUGGUUUGAAAGUUGAGAGGUUAUUCCGUCUUUUUUCAAAAAGCUUUGGCUUUUUCCAAAAGUGAAAGUUUUUUUAUGAGUAAAACCUAAAUUUACUAUUAAAAAUUGGGGUGAACUUAGAAUAUGAGGAAAAGAGAAGUGCGAGGUUUAAAUAGAAAAACUCUUAUUUAAAAUUCUUAAUUGAAUACCACCAAAUUUUUAUUGAUUACAUAAAAAUCCUAAUUGGAUACCACUGAACUUUUAAGCUUCAAAACAAUCUAUUAAAAUCUCAAUUGAAUACACAUAAAUUGCAUAAUGGACAGAUAGAUAAAUACUUGAUACCAAUCUCAUUCGAUACAGGCAUAGAUACUUCACAAAAAUCUCAUCUGCUAAUAUGUAGAUGCCACCUAUGAUCCCAACUACUAGGUUGGUCCACUACUAAAUUAUGAAAUUUGUCAGCAGAGGAGAGAAAUAAUAAAGAUGAUAUUAUUGAAAUUUCCUGUUGGUUAGAUUCUGUUAAAUUUCCCAACUUCUGUCACAUUUAAUUUUUCUAGUGUAUGUGUAUGUGUACGCUGCUGCUCUUCCGCUUCAUGAUGAUGAUUUGCACGACUGGUAAGUAUCAGAUUGGUAAAAAAUAAUACUUCAUUCUUCUUAAUAUAUAACAAAUAGGAAGGUUAUAUAUACAGAGCCUAGGAAACUAUUCUAGGAAAGUAAUUAUGUUCCUAUAAUCUUGCAUAAUCAAAUAGUUGACUUAGACUAAUUAGGAAUGUACAGCUCAUUGACACUCCCCCUCAAGUUGGAGCAUAUAUGUCAUCAAUGCCCAACUUGCUAAGUGAGUUGUGAAAUACCCUGCCUGUGACUGCUUUGGUAAGGACAUCUGCAAGUUGAUCUUCGGAUUUAACAAAUGAUACCUUAAUGAUCUUUGCCUCGAGCUUCUCCUUGAUGAAAUGUCUGUCAACUUCAACAUGCUUGGUUCUAUCAUGUUGCACUGGAUUAUGUGCAAUGUCUAUUGCAGCUUUGUUGUCACAAUUCAGUUGCAUGGCAUGUUUAGGUUUGAACCCCAAUUCCUCCAACAAAUUCCUUAUCCAGAGUAGCUCACAUACUCCGUGUGCCAUACCUCGAUAUUCUGCUUCAGCACUUGAUCUUGACACUACUUUCUGUUUUUUACUUCGCCAAGAUACUAGAUUGCCUCCUACAAAGGUAAAGUAUCCCGACGUAGAUCGCCUGUUAGUAACAGAGCCCGCCCAGUCUGCAUCAGUGUGACCCUCAACAUCUAGAUGACCAUGUCGUGCGAACAUCAAUCCUCUUCCAGGAGAUGACUUCAAGUAUCUCAAAAUUCGGUUUACCGCAUCCAUGUGGGCUUCACUUGGUGCAUGCAUGAACUGACUCACCACACUUACAGCAUAUGCUAUAUCAGGUCUAGUGUGUCCUAGAUAGAUUAACUUACCCACAAGGCGUUGAUAUCUUUCUUUGUUGGUGGGUACUUGAUCAGGAUAUUCACCAAGCUGAUGAUUCAACUCCAUUGGCGUAUCUGCUGGUUUGCUGGCUAACAUUCCAGUGUCAGUCAAAAUGUCAAGGAUAUAUUUCCGUUGUGAUAGAAAUAUUCCUUGUUCUGAACGAGCCACUUCGAUGCCUAGGAAAUACUUCAGAGCACCAAGAUCUUUCAUUUCAAACUCACUUGCCAAGUGGUGCUGCAAUGCUGCCUUUUCUAUUGGGUCAUUCCCGGUAACUACCAUGUCAUCAACAUAUACAAUAAGGGCAGUGACUUUACCUUUCUUAUGUUUCAGGAAAAGAGUAUGAUCUGAGUUACUUUGCUUGUAUCCAAAAUCCUUCAUUGAUUUGCUGAACUUUCCAAACCAUGCUCUGGGUGACUGCUUCAAGCCAUAAAGAGACUUUCUCAGUUUACACACCAUGUUGCUAGUAUUGGGCCCCAUCUUGCAUCCUGGAGGGGAAUCCAUAUAGACUUCUUCUUCUAGGUCGCCAUGCAGGAAGGCAUUUUUGACAUCAAACUGGUGUAAUGGCCAGUUUAGGUUUGCUGCCAGAGAAAGAAGUACCCGAAUUGUGUUUAUCUUGGCUACAGGGGCAAAUGUCUCCCCAUAGUCAAUCCCAUAAGUCUGAGUAUAACCUUUCGCCACCAGUCUUGCUUUGUAUCGUUCAAUGGUGCCAUCUGCCUUGAACUUUACUGUAUAUAUCCAUCUACAACCCACUGUUCUCUUCCCUUUGGGAAGGAUAGUCAUCUUCCAAGUGGAAUUCUUCUGGAGGGCCUCCAUUUCAUCAUUCAUCGCUUGAGUCCACUUGGGAUCUUUCAGAGCUUCCUGCACAUUACUUGGAAUAGAUACAGUGGAUAAUUGACAUACAAAUGAUGCACAUGACGGAGACAACCUAUGUAGGGACACAUGAUUAGCAAUAGGGUAUUUAACUUUUGUUUUUGGGUCCGGGUCAUACUGUUGUCUAGGAAUCCCUCUAGUGGUACGAAUAGGUAACUGAUAACCUGUGUUUCCUGUAUGACUCGACUCAUGUAAAGUGCUUAAGUUGGAGUUUAAAUGCUCAGUUACCUGCGCGGAAUCUUCAGGACCUGAUUGGAUGAUUGGUGAUGGUACUGUAGUAGGAGGGAAAUUAUCUGAACCAUCAUAUGGAGUUUCCAGUAACUCUUGAUCUUGUUGUACUACUGUAGCUGGUUGCUCGGACACUGACUGCUCUAAAACAGUUUGUUGAAUUUGGAUGCUCUGAGUAUCUUCUGCAAAGAUAGAGCUCUCCCCCUGCAGAGGAUGCUCAGAAACUCCCCCUGAGUAAUAGAACUCACUCUCGUGGAAAGUCACAUCGGCGGUAACAUGCAUGGUCUGAGUAGGAGGAUGGAAACACUUAUAGCCCUUCUGAGUGUCAGCAUAACCCACAAAGACACAACGCAGUGCACACGGAUCAAGCUUGCCACGCUGAUGUGGAUACACCUGAACAUAAGCAACACAACCAAAGACACGUGGUUCGAGAUUUGGUGUGGAUGGCAUGGUGAGGAGAGUGGUCAAUGUCUGAAAUGGAGUUUGAUACUGAAGAGUGCUAGAUGGUGUUCUAUUAAUGAGGUAAGCAGCAGAACAAAGAGCCUCCCCCCAAAAAUGAUGAGGCAUACGGGCCUCAAAUAAAGAGGCACGAACAACCUCCAAGAGAUGACGAUUCUUACGCUCUGCGACGCCAUUCUGUUGUGGUGUAUAGGCACAUGUGGUUUGAUGAACAAUUCCAUGUUGACUUAAAAAAUUAUGUAGGUCAUGGUUGACGUACUCUCCUCCAUUGUCAGACCGAAGCGUAGUGAUUUUCUUGUCAAAUUGAGUAGCAACAUAUUGAUAAAAUAACUUGAAUUUGGCGGUGACAUCACUUUUCUGCUUUAAGGGAAAAACCCAGGUCAUCCGGGUGCAAUCAUCAAUAAAUGUCAUAAACCACUUAAAACCGCUAAUAGUGGGAACUCGUGAUGGUCCCCAAACAUCAGAAUGGACAAUCAUGAAAGGCAAAGAACUUUUAUUCAAUCUUAAUGGGUAAGAAAUACGAUGACUUUUGGCCAAAAUGCAAGUUUCACAAUGAAAGUCUGAUUCAGCAAACUGGGAAAACAAAUCUGGAAAUAAAAGUUUCAGAUAACCAAAAGAAGCAUGACCUAAUCGUCUAUGCCAUAGCCAAAUUUUCUUCAUCCUGAUAGACUCAUCUCCUCUCACAUGAUGUGUCUGACUCAAUCUUGUACUGCUGUCUUCUGUCAAGUCCAGAUAAUACAACUUUCCCCUCCUAGUACCACAUCCAAUCACGGUCCUGGUGAGAAGAUCCUGAAAUAGACAAUACAAUGGCCAAAAACACACGGUACAAUUAAGGGAAUCAAUGAUUUGAGGAACAGAUAACAAGUCAUAGUCGAGUGAAGGGACAACUAAGACAUGAUCAAGACUUAAUGAAGAUGUAAGAGAUAAAGACCCUUCUCCCAUAACUUGGGAGGUGGUUCCAUUGGCACUGGUAAUAUGUGUUUGGCUUGAUGGUUUGGUAGAGUGCAACCCAGUAAAACUAGAUGUCAUGUGAUCAGUGGCGCCAGUGUCAAUAAUCCAUGAUCUAUUACAAGUAAGUGAAGAUGUGCAAGAGGUACCUGAGGUGGCCAAGGCCUUGGAGCCAUAUGUACCUGAUGGAGGUUCUGAUGCAGUCUCCUCGGAUGACUGAGCGAAUGCAAAUGAGGCUCUGGUAGAAUCCUUUUUCCGCGCUUUGUGGACCCAUCCUUCUGGAUAACCAAUGAUCUCAUAACAGCCCUUAAUGGUGUGGUUAUCUAAACCACAUUUGGUACACUUCAUUGGAGGCCGGUUACGAGUAGGGUCGACACUAUAGUUGUUCGGCCGAGAUUGUUUGGACCUUGCAGUAGCCAAGGCUGUGGCUUCGGAGGUUACACCAACUUCAGACAUGGUUCCCUGUCGGUUACUCUCUCUUUUAAUAUGUGCAUAUGCGGCCUCCAGUUCGGGUUUUGGCUCCAUCCGCAAAAUCUCUCCUCGGAUUUGAUCGAAAUUAUUGUACAAACCUGCAAGAAAUAUAUAAACUCGGAGACGAUCAACCUCUUUGCGUCUAGUCUCAAUGUCUUUCGGAUGCUCCAUGGUGCUUGGACUUAAUUGAUCAAGCUCCUGAAAAAUCUCAAUGAGCUCACUGUAAUAUUUGGCAACUGAUGCGCCAGCUUGCUUCAUUAUGAAUGACCGUCUGUGAAGGUCAUAAAUCUUGGCUUCAUCAGCACCAUCUGAAUAGGUUUGCUUGAUUGCAGCCCAGACUUGCUUUGCUGUGUCAUAACGAAUAAAUCGUUUAAUCUGAUUAGGUUGCAUGGCGUCGAACAACCAACUCUUGACUUGGCAAUCCGAUGCACGCCAUUUAUUAAAUGUGGGAUCUGUGUCUGCAGGUUGGGCAAUAUCACCGGUCAAGUGGCCAUGUUUUUCUCGCCCAGCUAUCUUCAUCUCUAUGAUUUGAUGCCAUAGAGAAUAAUUAUUCUCAUCCAGUUUGAUUCCUGCGGAGAAGUUGGAGGUGUCACUCUGCAAAGUGACGAUUUGUGUGGUAGUUUUGGAGCCUCCCGACACCAAGGAUUGAUUGGUGUUUGCUGACCCAUCAUCGUUGGCCAUGAUAUUGGCUGACACCCAAUGAAAAAAGGACAAAAAAGAAAUAUCAAGUUGAGGAAAAGCAAGUGCACGGUGGACAAAGGCAAUAAGACAAACUGUUUUGCAAUAAGAAAUAUUGGGUUGAAAGGGAAAAAAAAAGAACAAUAUGGGAACGGUUUGAAUGGGUCUGUGAGUGGAAAGUGAUUUGCAAUAUUGCAAAACGUGAUUUGACUAGAGGAAAGGUUUGAAUGGGUUUGUAAGAUGGAAUAUGGGUGGUAUUGGUGCUGGGUUUGUGAGAUGGAAUAUUGCUUUUGGUGCUGGUGCUGGUGCUGCGUAAUAGAUGGAAUAUUGCAAAACGGUGAUUUGAGAUGGAAUAUGGGCUGGUGCUGGGUCUGUAUGACGGCUGUUGCUGCGGAAGCGAUUAGGGUUAGGGCAAGAGACAGUCAAGAUUGACUGCUCUGAUACCAUAUCAGAUUGGUAAAAAAUAAUACUUCAUUCUUCUUAAUAUAUAACAAAUAGGAAGGUUAUAUAUACAGAGCCUAGGAAACUAUUCUAGGAAAGUAAUUAUGUUCCUAUAAUCUUGCAUAAUCAAAUAGUUGACUUAGACUAAUUAGGAAUGUACAGCUCAUUGACAGUAAGUAUUGGCGUCGGCCACCAUGGGAGCACAAAAGGAAAGACUGGGAAGACAGAUCUCCCUCCCCAUCUUAAACUGAAAGGUGUGAAUUGAGUGGUCUAAGUGGUAUCCUUUAACGUUCUUGCACCAAUGUUGUACAUGACAAUGCGACCAAACAAUUGUAGAUACAAGACAUCCUCAUUAUUUGGAUCAAAAGCUAGCACCAAAACCCUUUUUGUCCUCCCAUGGUGCUCAUCGUUCCACUUUUUGGUAAGAGGAUUUGCCGAGAUUAAGUCGAACAUGCGAGCUGUGUCUACCAAACACCAUUUUGCAGUCUCCUUGACUUGACCAUGACCUUUCCAAUCCCAAUCCCAAACACCAUGACCAUCGUCUUUCAACUCCCAAACACUCACAGCACCUAGAGUGUGAGCAGGAUCAUCAUGAUCUAAAUUGGUAGAGGAGAAGACGCACAUCCGCAGACACCCUUCUCCUCCUCCUCCACACUCACUUAGGAAGUCAAACCUUCGAGAUUCGAUUUCAGGCUUAUCAAUGUAACGAAAGACAUAUAUACUAUCACCAAGCUGGUCACGAGGAGAGUAGAGAUCCAACCCAAUAGUAAAGCCCUCAACAUCCCUCCACCAAUACAAGCUUCCAUUGUGAGCAACCCCGGGAUAGGGAGCCAAUUUGCUAAAACAAAACCUCCGUGGGUUAUUUACAAGUCCUUUGUCCAUUGACCUGUCUCAGAAGAAAAGAUCUCCAGCUAGAAUUCGCUGGAAACCUCCGGAAAGUCCAAUUUAUCGUCAUUUAUUCGCACAACCUUGUUGUAUGCUAUAGGAUCACUAUAUUAUUGCACAAUUCUUAAAAUAUAAACAGUAGCAAAAUUAUGAAAUCUGUAUGAAUGUGCAAAUAUAUAAAUUAAGUACAGAAACUGACUUUUAUUGAAGAUAGAGGCUUGCGUAUUUGCAAUGUCCUAAAGACAGAAUUUAGCCUCUUCUCAGUGCUUGAAGUUCAACAGGCGUCUAUCUCCCAGGAUUCAACUAUCUAUAAUUCAAGGGUUGGUGUGCCUCUCUCCAAUACAGUUGGUAACUUUAAAAUAAUAUGAGCAGUUAGUAUCCGUUAUACCUGUUCAAAUUCAAACAAAAAGAUAAGUCUUUCUGGUUUGAAUUUAACUUCUGCCAAAGAAAUCCGAAAAAUAAAAAUAAUUAUUUUAUUUUCGGGCUAGGUAUAUUUCUUUUAUUUUCCAGAGACCCAAGGCCCAAGGCCCAAGUCUUGAUUAUUUAAAUAUUAAUAUUAAUCAAGCAAGCCAAUCAUGAUAGUCUUUACUACCAAGCCCAUCAGCCCACCAAUCCUUAUUUAAUUGAUGUUAAGGUUUCAUGCUUAUAAAGCAUAUGGAAUUUUUUGUUUUCUCCAAUGUGGGACAUUUGCUUUCAAACUUCCAACAUACUCAACAUUAAUAAGAUUAUGAUUAAGCUGAAUAUUGACACUCCUCCUACUAGAUCUUUCUAGAUCUGCUGCUUGCUUUCGAUAGUAGGGAUCGCAUAUGAAUCCAACCAUUACGCACUUGUGGCAUCCUCCUGAUCCACGUCGAGGUCCACGUCGGGGGGGAGAGGGAGAGCAUCCCAUUGCUUGGUGUAUGGAUUGCAGAUGUAGUAAUCACGUUGAUAAUACGUGGUUGCACAACACAAAAUUAAAUCAUUAUAUGCUCCUAUCACAACUGGCUCACCUUUAUAAGGAUCAACAAUAUCAGCUUGGAAACAAGGGAGGAAACUCAGAGACAACUCAUGUUCAUGUGGUUGAUGAUCAGGCUCCGAUGACAUGGAAAAAAAAUUUCCUCUCACAUGGUUCAUCUUCAUCGGGCUGCUCCGAUGAUGACGUGGAAAGAAAUGUACUUCUUCUUCUUGUUGUACGCCUUCUAUCCGAGAUGGUUAUAGCACGUGCACGUGCACGUGCAAUGAUGUGGUUUUGGUUGCCACUUUGGAUUUGGAAAUAGUGUCGAAAAAAAUAAGGAUCAAAGAUGAGACUGAACCAACGUUUGGAGACACACAUGCAUCGAGCCGCACACUUAGGAGGGAGUCGGGAAAGAAUUUCUAGCAAAACAAACUCAGGGAGAUCAUCAAGACUAAUAUUCAUGGUUAUGGCUAACUCUUUCGAUAUUGGUUUUUCGGGUGCUCACCUUUUUGAUCUUUUUAAUGGAGACUGAUGAUGAUCAGAGGCUUCUCCAAUAGGUUUGGAUUGGGAUAUUCUACUGCUCCAACUCCUUUUGGUAGCACCAGGUCUCAUCAUGGCGCCGAUUGAUCCGUGUGCAGUUUGACUGACUAUUGCAAUUUGCAGAGAGGAUUUGGGUCUUGAAACAUACAUAGCUACUUAUCCUACUUUUAAUCACUAUAUAUAUAGGAACACAUAUAUAUAUAUAUAUAUAUAUAUAUAUUUUAUUUUUUUUUUUUGGGGGGUCGAAAAUAGGAAAAGAUAUCUAUAAAAAUAAAAAAAAGGCAAGCAAUCACUAAUUAUUAAUUUAUAAAUAGGAAAGAAAUCCUCAUACGAAUAGGAAUUAAUUUAUAAAGGAAAUAUAUAUAUUUUUUUUUUGGGGUCGAAAAUAGGAAAAGAUAUCCAUAAAACAAAUAGGCAAGCAAUCACUAAUUAUUAAUUUAUAAAUAGGAAAGAAAUCCCCAUACGAAUAAGAAUUAAUUUAUGAAGGAAAUAUAUAUAUUUAUAAGCCCUGCAAAUUUGGCAAGUUUUUCAAUAAAGAAAAUGCUAAUCACAAUCGCAAACCGUUGAUUAAAAUGAACCUCAUUAUCGCAGUUUUUACUGAUGCAUGCAUUGAAGGCUGUAUAUCGAAUUUUUAUAAAUUAAUUGAUUACAGACCACACAUAAGUAAUUUCUGAUCGUUGAUGAAAUGCUAGCCCCUCAUGCAUCAAUGGUCUAAAAUCACUUACUCGGGUGAAAGUGACUGACCGUAGCACACCCCAUUGACCUUUUCUUUCUUCUUAUCAAAGUUCAAACUCAAAGUGUUUAUAGUGGGUUACAUAAUGGGCUGCACAACCCUUCCAGAUUGUUUAGUAUUUCUUCGGGCUUGUGCUUUAAGAAUGGUAUUUCUGAGAAAUGUUAAACCACAAGGUAUGGGCAACCACCCAUUGCCCAUUACAAAGAAAAGUCCAUUGGGCUUAAUUGUGGGGUUCAUACUUUACAUUGAAGGGAAUCAAAAUUGAAGUUUAAGAUUAAGACCUACACUUGCCCUCCACUUUCUUGACUGCUUGUGCUUGAUCAGGCAGGCAGGCUGGUGUGUAAGUAGAUUUUUAUUUAUUUAUAGGUCACUUUACAGUAAGAUGCUAAAUAAGUUGAGGAUAGAUAGAGACGGUGGGAGGACACUAUGAUGAAACUGAAAAUUUUAAUGGGGUGGGGAUGAUUAUUACUCCUACAUGCUCUCAUGAGUACUAGGACUGCAAUUGUAUGCCCUUUUGGUGAAAUGGGCCUCUAUAUUCAUAAAGACUACCAAAUUUUCAAGAACAGCUUUUGCUGCUAGAGAACCUGUUGCCCCUAUAUCUGGUCUCAAUUAAUUGGGUUAGUUAGUUCAUAAUAUAAAUGCACGUGAAUGCAUUACUUGGAUGGAUGAGGAAGAUGGCAAGAAAACACACUCAGCUUACUUCUGAUGAAACGGAAUUGAAAGAAAAGAAAGUUUUGGUGAGGUUUUAAAUUGUCUUGAUUUGGCAGGGGACGACCCAUUAGUGUAGUGGUUUGGAGUAAUUGCUCUUGAGGCAAGGUUCUGAGUUCAAAUCCUAACAUCCGUUUUGUGUGUGAGUUUAGUAUAUUAUCGUCUCUCUCAACAAGAAAGGUCCUUCAAAAAAUGUCUUGAUUUGUAGCUAGCUGUGCUCUUUAUUGAAUGAAUAGGUAAUGAAGCUUUAAAACUGGACCAAACUUAACGCUGAAAUUACAAGAUAGCUUUUGCUCCUAGAGGCCCUUCUACCCUCUAUCUGGUCCCAAUUAAGUUGGUUGUUUGUAUAAUAUAAAUGCUUAUUAAUAAUAUACAUGCAUUGGGUGGAUGGUUAAAAAAAACAGAGUUACUCUGUUACUCAAACUUUGAUAGUUCAAUUCCACAGCAUACUGGGAUUAAUUGGAGACGACAAAACUACAGUUAAUAUACCUUCUGGCUUCACAAACGACAUAGAAAUGGAACAUUUUGAGGUUAAAGGUUGAUGCGCGUUGGCAGCUCAGAUCAUGACAAUCAAAUAUCAAAUCUGGAAGUUGAUUUUGUUCUUUUUGCUCCACUUUCUUUUGUGCAAUGUACAGUAUAAGAUGGGCGCAAAGGAAACCCACAUAGCUGUAGUUUUGUGUAUAACCAUCCAAGGAAGGGAAAAAAGAAAAAGUUAUUGGUCAAAAAGAUAGAGACCCCAGCUUCCCCGCAAUUGAAGUUGAAUGACAUUUUGCUUUUUACCAACUAUUUACUCUUGUGGAAAAUGCAUACAGUGCAUGCCGCCUGGUCUGGCCAUAUUGAAAACUUGAAAGCAACCUUGAUCUCAGUCUCCUUCCUUUGUCUUUUACAAUAUGACUAUGAGCCUGCUAGGAGCUAGCCUAGGGCUCAAGGCUUAGGUGAGCGUAGGUGAUGACCUUGUUAUGAACGAGCCUGAAUGAACAAAUAUGAACUAUUUUGCAGAAAUAAGACCAACCAACUUUGCAAAUUAAAGAGUUAAAAUAAGACAAAUGCUCUUAUAAGCAGAAGCUACCAUCAUAUACACUUUAUUGACUGUUUGUUUCAACUCAAGUAGUCCACAAACUUCAGCUUUUUCAAAGCAUGAACAUUAAGCACUUAUGAAAAACCAGAGACAACAGAUACAUAAUUAAAUAAACAUUACAAAAACCCUUCAUAAAAUAUUCUAUUUUUCUUGUGUUUUUAACUCCCACUUGAAUAUAUGAUCUGAGGAUAAAUAUAUCAAACACAGCAAAGCGGUACUAAUCAAAACAAGUCUCAGCUUAUGGCACGAACUCUUCUUCACUCUCUUGGAACUGAUCCUCGUUCUGGUUCACAUUGUUGUUGCCAUAGUUACCCCUGUUGUUGUACCAGUGUCUUGAAUCCACUACCCUUGAAUUUUCAUACUGGUUCUGAUUGUAGUUGUUCUCGCUCUGAGCGUCAUAGUAGUACUUUCCAUUCUCCAAAAACCUUGUGUCACUCAUGCCCUGCUUCUCAGCAUUGUAGUAGUUGUUGCUUUGGUAAUUGGUUGGGGUUGUGUAGCUGCUCUGUGUAAGCCUUGCAUCACUCAAGCCCUGCUUCUCCCCAUUGUAGUUGUUGCGGGUGUUUUGGUAAUUGGUUGGGGUUGUGGUUGUGGUGUAGCUGCUCUGUGUGAACCUUGUGUCACUUGGGUUGCUCUCAAAAUUGCCAUUGUAGUAAAAGUUGUUCUUGUUGGGGCGGUAUUGGGUGCUGUAGGUCUCAGGGUACUUGUUGGUGUGCUGCUGCUCUUUCUCUGACUCAGCUGUAUAUGGCAGGUUGUUGUUGUUGGUGGUGAAUUGUGCACCAUUGGUGGUGGUGUAGGGUGCACCGGUGGUUGUGGUGGUGUAGGGUGCACCGGUGUUUGUGGUGGUGGGAGGCAGCUGGCCAGACUCAUGGCCAUAGAGACCAUAUCCACUUUGGGUCUCUGGAAUGAAGGCUGGCUCUUGCUCUUGCCUUUUCACAGGGGUUUCUGUUUUGGGGACCUCUGUCUCCUUCUCAUAGUUUUUGUUGUUGUUGACAUUGGCCACUUUGCUAAAGAAUUGGCUUUCUCUAGCUUGAGCUUGUUGAGAGAAGAGGAGAGAUGCAAGGAAGAAGAGGAAAGAGAACAAUUUUGCAGCAGAAGCCAUAGUGGCAAGUGAACUUGUUGGGAGGCAGCUGCUGUAAACUGAGUGUAUGUAGUGGGGGAGAGCUAGUGGUAGUCCGUUCUUUAUAUAGAGGACCCUUUUUCUUUUCUCACCCAAAAUUUUCAACUGAUUAGGUGCAAAUGGGCUGGAGGAUGGGUGAUGGUUUGUGGUCCCCAGUGGGGGUAGAACUUCAACAAUAUUGAGUACCUUUCUUUUCCUUUUUUCCAGUUAAUUAGUUUAUUUUGUUUUGUUUUUAAAAAAAGAUAUGCAUAUACACAUUACUUUUUCCCCUUGGAUGCACUUCAUGCUUUCCAUGGAGGAAAACAACAUAAUUAUCUGCCAUUUUUCUCUACUAAAAGCCAGCCAGCCAGUCUGCUCAUUCUGAACUUGCUUAACAUUUAGCUUAGAUGACCCAUGAUUUUUCUUUUCUUCUAAGCAAAUCAAAAUAUGAUAAGAUAAAUUAGAAUAAAACCCAGCUAGCAGAAUUAACAAGAAAUAUGGAACUUUAAUUGUGGGUGUUGAUGGUGUUCCCUAAAGUUGAGGGAAAAAAAAUUAAAAUAAAGAGGCAGCAACCACAAAGGAUAAUUUGGAAAUUAACUACAUGGUGCCAAAGAUGAACCAGGACAUUGAGGUGGCCGUCUAAUUAUGCGUGGAUUGUGGAGUGGGUGGGGCAUGCAUAUAUAAUAUCAUAUGGUGCACGCAGCACGCAGCACGCAGCAUGUGCCCUCUUUGCUCGGUCAAAUUUAAGAUACGUAUCUAACCUCUACUGAAAAAGAAAGAGUACUCAAGACUGAAACACUCAUGUUCUAAGUCCCUGUCAUGUUUUAGAGUUGUGCUACCGUCAGUCCCGUUGAGUGCUUGACGCGUUCUCAGCUGUUGAUGAGUGCACUGAAAGCCGAAACUUCAACCUUGUUCUGGUUCAGCUCAUUUACUGCUUCCCUGCGAUUUAAACCAGUAUUAGUAAUGUCUUCUUCUGUUAGUUGGAAUAUUUAAGUUGCAUAACCAAAACCUAGUAGACGGACAGAUAGAUAAAUACUCGAUACCAAUCUCAUUCGAUAUAGGGGUCCAAUUGGUGAAUAGUAGAUAGAUACUUCACAAAAAUCUCAUCUGCUAAUAUGUAGAUGCCACUAUGAUCCCAACUACUGGGUCGGUCCACUACUAAAUUAUGAAAUUUGUCAACAGAGGAGAGAAAUAAUAAAGAUGAUAUUGAAAUUUCCUGUUGGUUAGGAUUUGUUAAAUUUCCCAACUUCUGUCACAUUUAAUUUUUCUAAAGGUCAUUUUUAAAGGAAAAGAGAGGAAGGUUAAAGAAGCUUCGAUGCCUACAUGAGCCACUAGCCCCUGUCCUCCCACAAAAGACUCAAAGCAUUACUUCUAGUUGCAUCAUGAAAGCCGAAGCAAGGGAAGAAAGAACAGGUACAUGCUAUCAUUGAAGUUGAUUUUGGAAAGCAAAAGCGUGUUAGCACCUUCCUCUGAAAAAGAGCUUAGUCUUAAAGCAGUAAAAAAAAAAAAAAAACCUUUGAAAAAGCAGCCCUUUAGGUUAACUUAUAAAUCUCACAUUAUGUAAGUUGUUUUUUUCCUUGUAAUUAUCUUAAACUAAGUUUGUUUUUUUUGUUAUAUUGGAAGGAAAAAAAUUACUAUGGAGUUUCGAUCUUGAGUGUCAAGCAGAGAGGGUCACAACCACUGUGAUAACUCCACUCGACAUUUUAAAACCAAGUUUACUUAAGCCUUGGUGAGAUUUUCAACAGUCUCGGUGAGUGGUUAACUUACCCAAACAAAACAACCAACAAAGUGAGACUUUUAAAAAGAUAAACAAAACAUAUAGUAGCCUCCCUCAUCUCAAGGCAUCCAAGAGGCAAGAGGACCAAGAUCCAAAUUUCACAUCAAGCUUUCAUGUGGCAUUCCAUUUGGUGAUUGAAGUUUGCAUGUGGCAAGUAAGUCUUCAAUGUUUGGUUAUAGCAGUUGCAGAAUUAAAGCACUUGAUUGAUAGAAAGGGUGGGGGCCAUUGUCCUUUUCUUCUCUCUCCUCAACCUCCUUCCUCAAUGGAAAAUGGGGUUCACCCACCAACACCCCUCUCUUCCUCACUCAAAGCAAUAGACAAAGGAAGAUGCUUUUGUCAACGUUUGUGCUUCACAAAGCAGCCAGAGCCUUUUCUUUUUCUUUAUAUUUCUUUUCAUUUUUCUUUUUAUUGAAUUAUGUGAAAUUUGUUGCGCGAUUAGCGGAAGGAAUAGUUUCAGCCUUUCCAAUACGUUUUUUCUUCUCUCUUUUUUUCUCUGUCCUUUCCUUUUGUUUCUCUUGCAGACUUUGAGUUUUGAACAAAAAUUAGUGGGAGCUCAAAAUUAAUAAUACAUUUAUCUGUAAAAGACUACUGAUUUCAGCUGAAAGCUAGCUAGUAUAAAAAGUUAUAAACUCAUUAUUUUAUAUAUAAAUAUAGAUAUAUAUAGAAAAAAGAAGCAUUAAUAAUAAAACAUAGAUUUCUCAAAGACCCAGAUACAAGAAGAGUAAGAUAAGAUGUUAACAACAGGAACCACUUUUAAUUUAAAGAAAUGGGUUCCAAAACAGAAGAGAAAGCAACAAGAGAUUGGGAACCAAAAUAGGAAGCACAGGAUUAACAUCACCCCCAAGGCGUUUUCUUCUCAUCCUCUUCCUAAAAUUCUCUCUCCUCUGCUCAUCACCCCACUGAGCUUCCUCUAUUCCUUUUGCAAGAAUCAAUGGCGGGGGCAGGUGAUAAGGGCAUUUGGACCUCCAAGAAGUCUCAGGAAACCCAAAUCUGGAGACCCUUUUGAGGAAGAGAGAGAGGCCCCAUUGUAGAUGGAUAGGAGGGAAGGUGGAUUUGGUGCAGAGGACUGGUGGGUAGUCCCAGUUUAGGUAGCAUGGGAUUUGGGUGGAGAUGAAGAACUGAGAGUGAAGAGGUGGUGUGGUUGUUGGGUUGAUUAGGACAUGAGUUAAGGCAUGGAGCCUUUGCUCCCAUGUCGUGUCUUCCAUUUUUUUCUUACUUAUCUCUAUCCCAAGAAUCAAGAUGAGGUUGGUUGACUUGAGAGGUGGUAGGCGCUAGGCGGCCGCCUAGGCGGUCCUCCUUAUUUUUCCGGAAAUAUAUUUAAAGAGUAUAGCCGGGCGGCUAUACUCUUAAUAUGUAUAUAUACAUAGAGUUCUUUAUUUUAUUUUAUUUUUUUGGUUUGAAAAGAUGUUUUAAAGGUUAAGCUCAAUUCUUUUUCUUUUAAUUACAUAAUCUGUUAGAUUAGUUAAAUUUCUAAUAGCACUAGUAUUCAAACUUAAGAAAAAUAUGAAGUUAAUACCUUGGUCCUUAUUUAGAAAAUAAAAUUAAUAACUACAUUGCUGCGAGAUGAUUUGAAUUUUAUGAAAUGUGGCCAAUAAGAAGAAAAGAAUUUUAUUGAUUAUAAAAUCAGUGGUCUUUUUUCUCUUGGGUUGAAAGUAGAAUCAGCGUUCUUCUAAACUGAAGGCAUCCUCAAAGAACACGUUACAUCCCUUGGUCGUUUUUGUAAAACUCAAUAAAUUGUAAUCGUGCAAUUUACAGCUUAAAGUCUUUACUUGAGGCUAUAGGUAUAUAGCCUGUAGUUAUUACACUUUGAAUUGCAAUAGAACUACAUAUACACAAGUAGUGGUGGCUGUCUCUAUAGUACCCUCUCAUUGCCACAGGCUCACAGCUCCUUAUCUGGAACAGAUAUGCUAUUAGAAAGCUUAUUGACCAUUGAUUCAAAUCUGUAAAAUGUUGCUACUGGGGUGUGGAUGAGGGUGAGCUAGCCAUCAGAAGGGAAUCUGCAUGGUUCAAUUCCCCAAGUCUUCUCAGCGUAGUCUCGGAUUGUUCUGUCGCUGCUAAAUCUCCCCGACCCGGCCGUGCUAAGGAUGCUCAUCUGAGUCCACUUACUUGGAUCCGCAAAUGCUUUAUCAGCAGCAGCCUGUAGUCAUAUAGAUUCAAAUCCCACGCACCAUAGUAAAGUUAUACAACACCAAACUCAAACUGCAUGUAUAUAUGUUUUGGGUUGGGACUGCCAAGUAAACAGAAAUAAUUACCUGAGCCUCUAAAUAGCUUUCAAAAUCAGAACCAACCAAAUAGAAGUCUUUACCACCGUCCACAGUAUCACAUAGAGAUUCAAAAUAGUCUUUAAAGCCGAAAUAGCCAUCUCGGACCAUCCUACACAUAAUAAAUAUCACAGCAGAAUUAGAACCUGAGGAAACAGUUUGCUCAGAACAACAUCACACAAUGGUCAAAAACGACAUCAAACACAUGCCCUCUAAAGAACCUGAAAAUUCUAGACUGGUCACCCCAAUCACUAACUGGCUAAGUGAGUAUGAUUGAUUGAAGUGACUGUAAUUGCAUACCUUAUAACACGUGCACAUUGCAGUGGCAUUUUAGGAGAUCCUUCCUCACGCAAAUUGGGAACUUCAUGAAUCUUUGCCCCGAACAAAAACUGGAGAAAGCAAGUUCUAAGAGAAUUAUCUCUGCUAUACUACAAACAAGUAUAUACCAAUCUAAAAUCUUGAAAUAGUCAAUACACAGAUUCCAUCUGGCAAGAAGUUCCAGCAAAAGCAAAUUUCAGUUGGUCGACAAUACUUGACAUCACAAUCAGCUAAGCUGAAUUCAACUAUAUUAAGUUGGCUACAUAAAUCUCACUCGGACUUUCCAUUCUCUACGGAAGCUCAUGUUAUGUUCAGUCACACGCUGUCUAUCUUUAGAGAAGGUCAAAGAUCAAUUCAUAUCACAGUGGUAUGCUUGUAUAGUUUUAUAUAAAAUUUACCAGGUUGUCUGCUCCUAUUUCUUCAACAAUUUCAACUGUAGAGCCAUCUUCUGUAGCUAAGAGUAAACAUCCAUUCAUAAGAAAUUUCAUGCUUCCAGUUCCAGAGGCCUCGUGUCCUGCGGUGCUGCAAAGGAAUCAUCACAAGUUGAGAUAUCAAAUAUGAAAACCGCAAUAACAUUGAAGUUUGGCCAAGAAACUCCAAUAAGUAUAUGGAAAGAUUGUGUUUUUUGGGGUUUCAUCAAAUUUAGAUGCUGCAAAGUUUACAAACCUUAUAUGCUGUGAAAGGUCAGCCCCAGGUAUUACCAAUUCAGCAACAGAUACAUUAUAAUCAGGAAUAAAAACCUGGAAUAACAGAGAAAUCACAUCAAAUAGAAGAUAAUUGUAUCCAUAUGUAGAGUGAAAAACCAGAGAUUUUAACUCAUGCUAGUUCCUCUCAAUAUUUGUACAAAACCAGAUAGGAAGAAUGCAUGUAAGGAUGCAUAAUUCUUUCUCUUACCAACUUCAGAAGAUCUCCGACAUCAGUGUCAUUAUUUAUUUUUUCUGCUACAGCAUGACAGAGUUUGAUAAUCUUCUUGGCAAUCUCAUAACCGGGAGCAGCUUUUCCUCCAAUAAUGCAGACACGAGGUACAACCUUACUCCUUUGACUUUUCUCCAUGUUCUGCAGCAAAGUGCUCAUCUUAACAAGUGGGGGCAAAGAGGAAAGAAAGCUCUUACCAAAAAAGAAAAAACAUGAGAAGAAAGCUCCAACUCCACAUCAUAUCUCAUUGAAAAAUCAACAAAUUACUGUCCAACAACUUCUUAAAUUACUGUGACAAGAAGACGAAAAAGGUAUGCACAAUACUGGAGGAUGGUGAUAGCUCCCUUAAGAAGGUAUAAGGUAGUUCUUUGUUAAAAAGUUAUAAAAUAUAGAAUGCAAAGUUCUUCACCAUAUAAAAUCAGAUUCACCUUGAUACAGUCAUAUCGAUGGAUAAUGCCAAGUAUAUUAAGCAGCUGUCUUUUGUACUCGUGUAUUCGCUUUGUCUGCACAUCAAACAUUGCAUCUAAACUAACCUGCAGUUGAAAGUGAUAAAUUUCAGUGUAAUCUAUUAGACAUAUCUUCUAGACAAAAGAGAAAAGAUGAACAGGAUAGAAGUUCAAAGAACUUGUGACCAAACCUUCACACCACUCAUCGCUUCAAUGUACUCAGCGAGCCUCAUUUUGUUAACCUUCUUAACCUACCACAUGAGCAUAUAUACAAUAAUAUAAUACAAACAAAGCCAAAAGCAUAAUAUAUUUUUGGUUCCUAAGCAGCUGUACAAAUAUCAAGCAUAGGGAGUACCAUCAUCCAUUCUUGUUGAAGGUCAGGAUCGGCUGCAUAUGCUCGCAAGCCAGUUAGAAGGUCAACAUCACGAAUCCAAGCUUCUGUUCCAAGCCAUUUUGAGAUAAGAGCACACAGGCUAGGAUUACUCACCACAAUCCAGCGGCGCUGAGAAAUCAAAUGUCAGUACAUUAUCACAUACAUGCUUAUAAAUUGUAUACUGCUAAGAAUAAUGAUGAAUCCUGAUUCAUCGAUGCAUCAUAAGAACAACCUUUGAAUAUGUUAUGAGCCAUAUAAUAACAAUAAUAGUAAAACUAUACGCACAUGUAUGUAUGCAUGUAUAUGCACAAAUAGAAAACCUCUCAGACCAAGAUUACAAAUUGUACAGGAAUCUAUUCUAAGUUCCACAGCAUCAUGCAUCCAUUUAAGUGGUCACCAACAGACAGCAUCAGAGUCAAACAUUAAUUAAGACAUAUUAAAACUGCAGGAGAGGUUGAUGCAUCCCAAUUUACUGCUCAACUGGGGUGGUUUAAAAGCUUAAACUAUGUCGAACACUCUGCUUCAUAAGCCCUAACACCACAAACUACAAAGGCCAUCAGAACCCAUCUUUGGAGGUGUGUAUCUCACCAUUCUUCUUCAACCACAUAAACAGAUUGAAAAGUCUAAUGAAACUAGCAAGUACUUUAUGAAAGAUGCUAUGAACUUUAUACCUGGGUAACACCAUUUGUCUUGCAUUGAAAUUUCUGAGGCCACAGCUCAUAGAAGUCCUGUGAAAGAGGUGUCAGAUGACCUAAUUUAAGGUAUCAUAAGAAUUUGGAUAUCUUCAACUUUGUCAUAAGACAAGGGAAAAGACAACGAUGCAAGGAACACAUAGUACCUUGAAUAAUUUUGCUUUUAGCAAUUCUGAAUGUACUUCAGAAACACCAUUCACAGUAUGGGAGCAUACAAUCGCCAGGUUUGCCAUUCGGAUACUCUGUCAAAUCAAAUGGUAAUUAAAGGUCAAAUUGCUAAACAAACAUUUUCUCAUCAAGAAGACCAAAGAAUCCUUAAUAAACACCUUAAGAAUGUACUUUUGAAAGGGGAAAAAUAAGCCAAAAACUCAUUUAAGUACAAAAGACUGCCUUGCAGAGAUUUCCAAAUGCCCCGUUUUCUAUGCUCUUCUUUUGUUAUGUCAUCAUUUAAGAGAGAUUAUGCAUAGGAGACAUAAUAUGGUUGCAAGAAUAAGCACAAUGGUGUACGGAUUAACUGUAGAGUUUACAAAAUACUACAGAUAAUACCAGAUGCCAACCACAAUUGUAAGCCCAGAAUCAUAUAUCUAUCAAGAAUACAAUCAAAUAUACCAUCAAAUACAAUAUGGUUUUAAACAUACCUUCACAGCGCCUUCCUCAAUAAUUGACAUUCGGGAUAGCCGAUUGUAAUCUAAACCAAUCCUCUUCUUCAACUCUUCCACAAACUUAAAGUUUAUUUCAUAUAUAAUCUGGAGCAAUAAAAACCUUACCACAAUGAUUUGAGUGACAAAAUAAUAAUCUCAUAAAAUAACGGCUAUUGAACAGAUAAUUCUAUUAUAAUUAGUUUAUAAGGUUGCUUCAGUAUAAAGGAAAGCAUAACAAUCUGAUGGAAAUAGAACUCCAGGAGUAAAGAUGAACUGAUGCACGAAUUGAUACAAAUUUCCAAAAACCUAGCAGACCACUAUCUUGAUGUAAAUUUGUAAUAUAUAUGACAAUUAAAUCAAUAUUUCUUCAUGUCAAAAAAGAGUCUUUAGAAUCGCACUUGUAAAUGGCGUGGGAGAAGACUGCCCAGUAAAUCAACAGGGAUUUUCUCCAACCCUUCAGCAAUUACUGCGUGUAUUGUGAACGAAAAGAUUUUGCAAGCAAUGUCCCACGCUUUAUUCCAACCCAAAUGCUCUUUAUCAACAAGCACUCUCAUGACCUCAGCUAUCGCAAGAGAUGGGUGAGUAUCAUUGAGCUGCAGAGCAACCUAAUUAAGACGAGGAAAAAUGAGCUGAGGAAAAAAGGAAAAACAGAAAAGCAAACCUGAAUGACUAUCAGAGGAAAGUAAUAUAUAUAAAAGUUCAUUGUAGCUAAAACAAGCUGCCAUAUAGGGUAAUAACAUGGUUUUUUCCCUGGAAAUCAACAUAUGAUAAAACGCAGAAUAUUAAGACUUGGACCUUCUCUGGAAAUUCAUCAAAGUUACUGUGAGCCUCUUUAAAUCUCCGAAUUAUGUCUUGUAUGGAUGCUGAGACAAAGAAAUAUUGUUGCUUCAAUCGCAGUUCCUUCCCCUGUAAUACAAAAUAAAGUGAAAAGGGAAACAUACUAAGCAACAAAAUGAGAAUAUACAUGAGUCAUCCCCAUGGAAACCACGUAACUGAGUUCAUGACUUUUCUCCAAACUUCUAAGAAGGUACAUUUUCUCAGAAACAUGCAGAUAAAAAAAAAAGAACAAUAUUGAUAAAACCAUCUUUCUUUUCUUCAAAUAAGUAAACAUGAUUUACAACAUAGUGCUGGAAAAGAAAGAAACUAUCAUGUACCCAAGACUUCAAAGAUGUUUAAUGUUUACAAGGUGGAUAGAAACGCAGGGAAAUAACAGCAUGAUUAUUGUACUCCAAAAUCCUAAAGUUUGAGAGUUCAAGCUAUCCAUACAAUUCUUAUACAGAAUGCUAGAUAACAAUAUGUUGAUAAACUGUCCCAGCAUCUAUAAAAACCUUAAUGAUAGGCAUAAUGGAAAAUCUUCAUCUCAUUGAAGUAGCCAGUUUCUGCAUGAACAUAUCAUCUUUUGAUACAAUACAAUACAUAUUCAAAAUAUAUUAUAAAUAAGAAAUAAAUAACAGCAUUAAGAAGAAACAAGCACACCUGAAACGAACGGUCAUCAGGGUACAAUACACUACUUAUAUUUUCUGCUUUCUGUCUACAAACAACAGCAUUGAUGUAAUCUCCAGUAUUAUAAGCUUCCUGCAUGUGCGGAUCAUUGCAUAGAAAAAUUAGUCUCACCUAAAAUUUUUAGGAGGCAAGAGAUGGAUUCUAUUGAAACAUGAACAAUUGGAGGAGAGAAUACUGUAGCUACUCUUUCAUUUAGGAUUUCCGUGGGAUAUUGAUUAAAAACGCAUUUCUGGAAAUGCAUAAUGUUUAAUGGUAGUAAAAAAUUACCAUAUCAUGUUGAUCACUUGGUUUUCCAGCCCAUAAACGGAGAGUAAUAGUAUUCCUUGUUCCAUAACCAGGUAUGGGAUUAUCAUAAGCCACAGCUUCUACCUAGCAGUGUGGAGACAAACCACUAAGCUGAAAUAACCAAUUAUAUUCAUCAUGUUUACAAGAUGCAAUCCAUCUUGCAUAUAUGAAUUAAACAAUAUCAAAGGAUUUGUAGAACAAAUGCAGCCUUAAUUAAUGGAAAAAGAGUUUAUUGUCUUACCACUUCUCCAGGGAUCCAAACAUUGCAUUUUUCUCCAUUCAAAUUUUCCUCUUCAACGACCCCAUAGAACUUAUCCAUGUUAAUAAUUAAAAAACAGAAGUUAGCAAAAGGUUUUGAAGUUUUAGGAGAUAUAAUGAAUAUCAAAACAACCUCAAUUAUUCAAUGAGCACUUUAAAAACAGGAGUAGUACUUGCACACCUUCACUGGAUACGUUACAUGAACCCGCUCUGUUUCCCAAGGAUUUCCAAAGUUCAACCAGAAAUCGGGUUGUUCAUGUUGGAAGCCAUCCAGUAUAACCUGGCGGAAUAAUCCAUAUUCGUAACGUAGUCCAUAACUGCAAAUUGAAGAUGCAACAUCACCAAAUUACAUCCCAUGUAAGAAAUUGUUGGCAAAAAACUAGUUCCAUAAUAAAAACGGUGUGGAGUUUUCAUAUUGAUUAAUAAGUUUAGUUCUCAAAGCCAUUAAGCAUGCACAUUAUUAUAACGCAUAAUAUAAGUGAGGCACAUUUGAGUUCUGAGUUCUCUCCAGAGACUGCUUCUAUUCUAAUUUAUAAAGUGUAAAGAAUCACGCCUGCCGCAUUUUUUUAUCAAGUGGGAAUAAUAUGCUAUACAUUAGGGGUAACCCUCACUUGCCUAGACUUCACUGUCUUGGAGGAGGAAAGAGACCAAAGAGCUAAAAGGGACCGUCAUCCUAGUAUUAAAGACAAAAAUUUGAUGGGAGUAUAAUGAAUUAGAUUAUUAUAUGCUAACAGAGAGUCAGCAUACCCCCAUGCAGGAUAGUCCAAAGUUGCCAUAGAAUCCAUUUGGCAAGCUGAAAGACGAGCUAGGCCACCAUUACCAAGGGCAGCAUCUCCUUCCUUGAAACAUCAGGAAAACACUUACCAUAGCAGAAUAAAUUGCUAAAUUAAGUAUAUAUUCCAUGGUGUGCAUGGUAUAUAUAAGAGAUCAUAAUGGGGGAAUGACAUCAGCAAAAGAAAAAGGUGUAUACUAACUUGCUCUGCCAAAACUUCAAACUCAAAACCAAGCUGGCUUAAAGCAUCUGCAUAUUGAUCCCGGAUGCCAAGGUUGAUGACACUAUUUGACAAGGAACGACCUGACAGCUCAGUAACAAAUAGCAUUUCAGCGGCAAGCAAGCAUUACAUCAAGGAAAAUAUACACAGCACUAAAUUGGGAACUCAUGGAAAACAAGCAGUCACUUCAGUACAAGAUCAAAAUGAAACAUUAUCAAUUAGUCUAGAGAGGCUUGAGGUUAACAGACACUAGCAUCAUCCAAAGUCCAUAGAUUGUAUAAAACAACUCUGAUGGAAGUACAUAAAUACCCAUAAGAUACUCAAACGAGAGGAAGUAUACGCGCUUAGGGUCUUUCCUCUUGAAGUAAAGCUGCGUAUCAUGCGAACGUUCAAUCAACCGGUCUCUUACACUAUGCGCCAAGGCCUGCAAAAUAAUCAUAACAAGCGUAAAUAAAUAUGCAAACACUUGAUAACUACAAUAAAACUCAGGGAACCCAGAAUAAUGAUAAAUGACGAAAAUAAAGAACAUUUCCCGCCAAAUUUGAGAACAUUCAACUGUGCCCUGUUAUGCAAAUUUUGGAAACCACAAAAUCAAACUAUUGAAAAACAUAAGCCCAAAGAUUACUAUAAGAAAACAAAAUUACCUGAUAAGCUUCAAAAUCAUCGAAGUUAAAGCGGGACCUGGCAACCGUGUACUCAACGUGACGAAGAAUAUCCUGCUGCAGACUAAUGGAGUCAUUUUUCAAAAACCCAUCCAUUAGCCUGAACAUCCUUUCAGCCUUGGCACUAUCGGAGCCCAAGCUCAUGCCCAAACCCGACCCGGGCCUGCGGACCAUCACACCUCUCGUGGUGGGACUGGCGGGACCCAUCGAGACCGUACCACCGUCUUCGAUGGCGUCCGUCAGGGCCUUCUUGAUCCUAUCGAGGCUAUCCGGGUCGGCGAUUUUCGCGCCAUGAGAAUCGGUGACGAAGAAUCUUUUGACGAAGAAGUCGCCUUCGAACUCGACGGUAGCUUUUUCAACGUGGAGGCCGAGGACUUUGAAGACGCCGGUGAUGACCUGGAGGAGGCCGAUGCGGUUUCGGGCUCGGAUCACGAAGAGCGUGCAGGACGGGUCGGAUUCGGACUCUGAGUUCUCGACGGUGACAGAUGAAGCGGCGGAGGGCAGCUGGCUAGCGGAGGCGCGUAUGGGUUUGGCAACAUGAGUGCGGCCGUAUAGGAUCGAUGAUCGCGAUGACCGUGAGAAGCUUCGAGAAUGAGAGGGAAAUAGAGGGAACAGAAAGGUGGAGGAUGAAGAUGCGAGCUUAGAUUGGUCAGUGAUGGUGAAAAGCCUUGAAGAUAGCGUCAACAUUGUAGAAUGCGGGGAUUUGGAGGAAUCACAUUCGCAUGUGGAGAAAGACUCUGGUAGGGAGAGCUUCGGGGUUUGGAGGUGGAAGAAGAAGAAGAAGAUGGAGCUUUGAGUGCAAUCACAGUGAGUCUGUGAGUGACUGACCGUGAUAGUAGGGAAAAGGGACUUUCUGGACUUUUCACUUUUGGAGGGGACAGGGUGAGGAUACCAAGUGGACAGCCUCAUUUUCAUACGGUGAGGCUUCGUAUUCUUUAUCGCCACCUAUAUUGAUUUUUGUUUUUAUGUAUGUGAAUAAAAAUGCAAUAUAUUAGGCAAUGGAAUUCGUCCCUACAGAAAAAAAAUAUCGAAAUUUGGUCCAUGUUUACUUUUGAAGGAUGGAAGAAGUCAUGAAUGGGAGAAUUUAAAUGGAAUAAUCAAGAGAUGAGAAUUAGAUUAACUACUUUUCUUAUGAGUGCGGUCGAAGUUGAUUUCAUUCUUGAUUUUGAGCGUAUUUGAUUACAGAUUGUAGUUGAUUUCAUUCACUAUUUUGAGGGUAUUAAUUACGAAUUUUAUUAUAAAACUCAUAUAAUUUUUUAUUCCUUAUACGUUAAUAGAGAUAUAGAAAGUUAAGAAUUGAAAUCAUUCCAAUUCACAUAUGUUAACAAACACGUAGAAUUUGAAUUAUUUCAAUACCUAUUCAUGAUCGCAGCACCGCAUGUGUCACAAUUGCAUUGCAUCUAAUGAGAAGAGCAAUGGGGUUGAAUGUGGGCGAUGAAUACGGGCAAAAGAAGGGUCGUCCCAUUGGUUUUGGCAAAAGGCAAGAAAGAUGAACAGCAAGCACAUCCCUUCCUUCCACCGUCGUACUUGCAUAAUUGCAUUGCACCCUCCACAGUCACGACUCACGAGCCCCAAAGCCCAAAAUUAUUCACAGCACAGCAAUGCACGAAGCCACCUUUCCACCUCCCGCCAGCCGUCACACUCACACGUGUCUUUUAUUGGGCUCAAGAAUUUGCCACCUCGUUAUGCUCUUUUACCAUACUGUAAAUUUUAGAUGCCACGUGACUACAAAACCACACAGUAAAGUAAACUCUCUAUCUGGAAACUUCCACACCGUUCUGGUUCUUUCGACAUAUUGUUUCUCUUUCCUUCGAAUUCCAGUGCCACUUUCCUUAAUAAGAGCAAAGCAUCAGUUUGCGAACAUACCCAAUUAUAAAUUUUGAUAGCCUUGAAGAAUUUGAGCAAUUCAUUGAGUUUUAAAAACGCUAGCACCUGUCUGAAGAGCAGGAAGAUAUGGGUGUGGAUUACUACAAGCUUUUGCAGGUUGACAAGAACGCCACAGAUGACGAUUUGAAGAAAGCUUACAGAAAGCUGGCCAUGAAAUGGCACCCUGAUAAGAACCCCACCAAUAAGAAAGAAGCUGAAGCGAAAUUCAAACAGAUCUCUGAGGCCUAUGAGGUUGGUCUUGUCUUCACCCUUAUCUUCCUUUUCUUCGUUCACCUAUUUUCUUUUGGUUAUUGUUGUUGUUGUUGUUGUUGUUGUUGUUUUUUACUUUUUAUCAUCUGGGUUUUAUACCUCUAAGCAAAUCCCACAUGUUCCUCACCUCCUUUUCUAUUUAAGUCUCAUUGUAUAAGUUAAAAUUUCCAUCUUUUAUAUUUAAAUUUCCUCAAAUGACAGAAAGAUUCCAUCUUUCAUCGUUUUCUAGAUGGUGUACGAAUGCCAGAGCUUGGAAUCUGAUAUUGUGUCUUUUGAAUUUAUAGGUUCUGAGUGAUCCCCAGAAAAGAGCAAUUUAUGAUCAAUAUGGAGAAGAAGGCCUAAAAGGCCAGGUGCCGCCACCAGAUGCUGGUGGUCCUGGUGGAGCUACCUACUUCCAAACUGGGGAUGGUCCAAAUGUCUUUAGAUUCAACCCCAGAAAUGCCGACGACAUUUUCGCUGAGAUUUUCGGGUUCUCAAGCCCCAUGGGUGGAAUGGGAGGUGGAAUGGGAGGUGGAGGAGGUGGUGCUGGUAGUGGCAUGAGGGGUACAAGGUCCUUUGGUGGACUGUUUGGAGAUGACAUGUUUAGCUCAUUUGGAGAAGGCCGGCCCAUGACUCAGGCUCCACGAAAAGCUUCACCGAUAGAGAAGAGGUUGCCAUGUAGCCUUGAGGAGCUCUAUAGGGGGACUACUAAGAAGAUGAAAAUAUCAAGGGAAAUUGCAGAUGCAAGUGGGUAAGUUCCUGCUUAUCAUUCAGUUUUAUAGAACGUACUUGUUUAAUUUAUUUUAUGACUUGUGCAUAAUCAGUUAUUCAUUCAUUUGACAAUUUCAGAAGUUUCUGUAAAAAGGAUGUCAGCAGUUUUCUGCAUUCCAAUUUUAGUUGGACUUUAUUUGAGUUGAUCUGUUUAUUGUGUUCUUAUCUUUUGAAAAGGAAAAGAAAAAGGAAUAUAAGUGAUGCGACCAUCCCAUUUCCCUGCUGUUGAUUGAAUGAUUCGUUAUUCAUAUUGCAAGUCAUGUGACCAAUCUAUCUAUUUUCUGGUUAGUGACCUUACUUAUCAUGUGAUGCAGGAAGACCUUGCCAGUGGAGGAAAUUCUAACCAUAGAAAUCAAGCCUGGCUGGAAAAAGGGAACAAAAAUCACCUUCCCAGAGAAAGGGAAUGAGCAAGGAAACGUAAUUCCUGCAGAUCUUGUGUUCAUAAUUGAUGAGAAACCACACAGCACAUUCACAAGGGAUGGCAACGACCUUGUUGUCACACAGAAGAUCUCCCUAGCAGAAGCUCUCACGGGCUACACAGUCCAUCUGACCACACUAGAUGGAAGGACCCUCGCCAUCCCCAUCAACAAUGUCAUUCAUCCAGACUAUGAGGAGGUUGUCCCUAAAGAGGGUAUGCCCAUACCUAAAGACCCAUCCAAGAAGGGCAACCUUAGAAUCAAAUUCAAUAUCAAGUUUCCGAGUAGGUUGAAUUCUGAACAGAAAGCCGGAAUUAAGAAACUUUUGGCGGCAUGAUUUGAUUUCGGGGCAUGAUUUGAUUCGAGUCAUUCGAUCCACCAUGCGCCAUGCGAAUCUUCUGGGAUCUUCUGGGACGGUUGUGAAUAUGUUUUUUGAGAUGGCCUGGAUUUGUAUAACUAGUUAGUCUUUGUAAGGUUAAACAUUUGUUUGCCCCACAGAUGUAAGCUGGUCAAUUCUAGCUUGGAAGAAGCAGCAAAUAAAGCUUAGUUAUGUUUUCUAGAAUUUAAUCUUGUUCAGUGAUCGCAUCACACGAUUGUCUCCAAUAUAAAUGACCCUUUCUCCAAAAUUGAGUUGCUUGUUUAAAAAUGGGAAAAUAAAAAUGAGAAAAAACUAUUAUCAAAAUAUCUUCAAAUACAAUCUUCCAUGAAUAUAACUGAAAUAUAAAAGAUAGGAUCUUUGCAGUAUAACUUGCUCAUCUUUUUCAUUAGGUAAAGGUUUGUUACACGCUUAAAAUGACUUACAUGUUACACUGCAUAACUACUGCAGGACCUCUAUCCAGUACUUCUAUCCAGACUACUGCUAAAAAUGUAAUCCAUAAACAGGGAAAGUUUAAAAUAAAAGGGAGGCUAAUAAUAAUAAUAACAAUAAAAAGAAGAUUUGGUGGGGCAAUAUUGAUUCCAUCACCAGGAUAGGAUGAGCCGCUAGUGAAGCUGCAAUAUCAAAAAUUAUAUUGCAGCCAGUAUAUCUGGGAUGCUUGCACAAAGGCAGUUCAGGUUUCAAACUUCAAUCACUAUAGUCAUCUGAAACUGCAGAAUCUGAGCCAUCAUCAUUUGUAAUCUUGUUUUGUAUUUCAUCCGAGGCAUCACUCAUAUCUACAUCCCCCUCUGAAUCUUCAUCUCUCACUUCUUCAAUGCCAUUAUUGUCAUCUUCAGAAGCAUCCAUAUCCUCAUCACUUGCUUCCAGUAAACCCUCGUGCCAUCCGCUGGAAGUCCCAUCAAAUCCAGUUUCCCAGUUUCCUUGUUCAUAUCCCACUGCUUGGUCAUCGUCUUCAGAUUCCAAUGCCUCUGCUUGUUCAUAUCCCUCUCUUUGUUCAUCACCUUUCAUAUGGAUCAUAUCUAUCUUUUCAUCAUCCCAUUCCUCACCCAAGUUUCUCGGGGAAUCCCCUCCACUCUCAGGGCUACUGCGUACGUCAGUCAUGCGGCCCAGAGGUGUCCCCUCAACAACCCUGUCCUUUGUUCUCCUCUUUCUAACAGUUCUGCGACCCCGUGCACUCCCUUGUCCUUGUGUUCUUUUCCCAACCGGUCUAAACCCUUGACUUAGAUUCCCACUACCCUUUUGCCGACUUGCACCAGAUUUGGAAUUAUUCACUUUUCUCUGCCACUUUUUACCGCGCCCUUGCUCACGACCUCCCCUACCACGUCUAAAGCUGUUUCGUGCACUUUUCAGGUGAGUAUUGUUCUCUUCCCGAAUGUAUUCAUUGUGGCCUACUUCUGUUUGUUCAGACUCUUUCAGUGGGGCAAGUCUCAUAGGGAGCUUCUGUGGACAAGAAAAGCACAUGUAAGAUCACUCGUUCAUGGCACGUUGAAAGUUGUAUAAACACCACCAACGUAAAUUCAACAUAUUCUAUAAGGCAGGUCCCAUGCAGAUAGACUGAUAUGUAAGACCACUAGUUCAUUGACACGGUGAAAGUUGUAUAAACACCAACAUCAAUUACAUCUAUGGCUAGCAUAUUCAACAUUGGGGGGUUCCAUCCAGAUAGACUAGAACCGCCAAAUCUUCAUAAUAUCACAAGAUUUGUAUUUUUCUAAAAGAAUUGCAAGCAUUUGUGUCAGUAAUCAUACACCUGAUUCUCUUUCAACUUCUUUUUUUGGGGAACCCUCAAUGAGAAGAACAGGAACACUCACCAGAUAUUCUUUGACUUCCUUGUCUCCGUUGGGCUCAGCUUUCUCAAGCUGUAUAUGUGUAAUCGAUGAAUCCAUCUCAUGAAGCCUCAGAGCCACAGCUGCAGUGGUAUGUGGUAUCCAAGGAAGUAGGGGAACUGAUCCACUGUCUAGAAAGUCAGGAACAAAAACCUCUGAUUGUUUGCUGGUGCCAAGUAAUUCCUCCGUCGCUGCAAAGUUUGAUGACAGAAAGUCUCGCUUCACGGCAGUCUCAAGCAGAGUCAAUAUCUGCAACAAAGUUUGUCCAAAAUUGAGCAACUCAAUAUAUAAAUUAUGUAUCAUGAAUUGACACAUCAUGAGCCAUGGUCAUACUGGUCUGAAGCUCACCGGUGAAUAGAAUACCAUACCACGUAGAAAAAUGCAUGCGGAAUUGAUGGAUAAAUAUUUCCACAUGAUAUUUUCAUAUUGUUUGUGAAAAAAAAUCAGGAAAUUAAUUUACAUCAUGACAAAGGUUGAAUCAUAAGAAUGAAACGAGAAAAAGGUAAGACAACCUGUAGAAGUUCUUCCGUUGAUGAUGAUGCAUUCAGUUUCCCACCCCAGGUCUUUCGACGGUCUUCAGUCCAAAACGAUUGAAGAGCUUCUGGUGGAAUAGAUACCUAUCAAACAGAAUGUCAGUGAUGUAUAGACUCAAUAAAAUAAAAUAAACAAGUGCACAUACAUUAGAUGCCACGUUCUUAGGCAAGCAAACUCAAGAUUAUAGUGAAGCCAUUAGCAUCUCACCUCAAUAUGAGCUAUUAAUGCCUUGAGCAAUCUUCUGCCCAAGGGAAGAGAAGUACAUGGCAUAUGGGAAUCCCAAGGUUCCAACUUCCUUUUUUCUUUACAUUGAAUCACAUGCUCGCUAAAGUUAAAAUUUGCAUAGAAAGCACUGAAAGUCUGAUGGCAAAAAGCACAGUGGGAAUCUUCAAAGUAGUAACAACUAAGGCAGAAAUCGCAAACAUCAAACAGUGAUCUGCACCUCUUCUUCGCAUACUUCAUGGCACAAAAUGUAGAUGAGCUAAAGCAUUCUUUCCACAUCCACUUCUGAAAAUCUUGAUACCUUCUCAAGGCAGCCCUUUUUUCAGCUUCAUUUCUGUCAAGCUCAAUUCUGAAAGAAGAGGAUGUCUCUGCUGUAUCAGAAUUCAAAGCACAAACAGUACUGCCAGGGCUGUCGAAACCAGAAGGGCAAUCAGGGCUAGAAUCCAUGUCGGCUUCAUUUUUAACACGGUUUUUACUUGGGCCUGCACUGUUAGGACAAUGUGAAGUUUUCCGAACAUUGUCCUUGAACGAUGCCUCAAUCUUUUGCAACAUUAAGCGUAGAUGGGAUUCCCUAAUCCCACGUGUGUCCAGAGACGUCAAUAGAGCAUCAAAGGCCUACACAGAUAAUGGAUUCAACAAAUUAAAAUAAUGAAAAAAACAGAAGAAGCAAGGUUAAAACCAAAUACAAGUCUAAAAGAAUUGAACCAGAAAAGUAUUUAUCAACAUUUAGCACCAGAAAAAGGUUGAAAGCGCAAGAAGCCACCAUUAUUGGGAUACCAAGACCAAAGCAUCUUAAUCUUAACUUUGCAGAAAAAGGAAUAUAAGAAACUCUUAAAAGGAAAAUUGAAACAGCAUGUCAAAUCUAACAAACAUAAAAUUUGAUUCAACCAAGCAAGCAGACAAAACCUAUUACAAAUGUAAGACGUGCUGCCAACAUCAAUCACAAGACCCAAAUCUUGAUGAUCAGAUAUUUUAUUCCAAUUGGUAACAAGGCCAGCAAACAGAUAAUAAAGAAUCAACUUUACUAAGAAGCAAAUGAUGCCUAGCCCAACCUCAAUUUACUCAAAAGGGCUGGAAGGGUCAAUGGCAGUUUCUCCUAAGGAGGAUGAAAUGCAGUCAUAACCAACAAAAAUAUUUACCAGUACUAAAAUAUUCUCAUGUCAUACACAAGCCCUGAAACAAAUUGUUAAACCCGUAAGCAUUUAAGUACCUCUUCAGUGUCAAUAAGCCUCCAACUUCCAUUAUUCAAUUCAAUAAAAAUCCUGCCUGAACCAGGAUCAUUGCUUGAUGCAGAUGCAACAAAUUGCCAGUAUCGAUUAUGCCUGCGAUCUUGACCAAGAGGCAGGGACCUAUAUGCAUACAUCUCUUCUGCUCUAUGUGCAAUAUAUGAUUUUAACUGUGAGCGCGACCUUUUUGAUGCAUAUGCAAGUUGCUGACUCAAGAAGUUGUCAGGACCCAUGGAAAUAUCUUGGGCUCCUAAAGUCCUUUCAACUGGCAAACCAUUAAGCUGAUUCUGAACACCUUGUGAACCAUGGAUUGACUUUUGAUUUUCUGCAGUGCCUGGAGAUGCUUCAAUAUUUCUAUUAUCAACAUCCCGUACAGGGCUUUGUCCAUCCUCCACUCCGAUAACUUGUGUUUCAGAUUUGCCUCCCACAAAAGAUGGAAAAUCUAACUUACCGACAUUCUCUUCUUUUAGGCGACUUUUAUCAAGCUGUGCUUCUGCCCACAUUUGCUUCUUAAGAGCAUUUGCAGCUUCUAAGCGAUCCUGUUGAACUCGUGGUGUCAAAUUUAACACAGAAAAUACAACAAUUCAUUGAUUUUCACAAAAUUGAAAAAAAAAAUGUUUACCUCAAGAACAACACGGAUGGAGUUUCCUUCAUUUGCAACACCAAUUAAGGUAACCAGGCCAUUAAGACGCUCUUCCACACUGAGAUCAGAAUAUUCCCCUUCUGUAAGUCCUUGAACCCAUGACUCACCUGAUUUGCUUUCAUCAAUCUCCAUAUUUUCUUGGUCAAGAUUACUAGCACUAAUAUCCGCACCCGAAACACACUGUUUAGAGGAAGCACUAGGGCAGUUUGCAUCUUUGGAACCACUCACUGGGGAAGAUGAAACAUCGUUUUCAAACUCAUUUUGCACAUUCAGUGCAACAUCAUUGCAUAAAUCCUUUCCAUUUUCUGAGAAAGUAAUUACUUCAUUGUAAUCAUCAGGGGAUUUCUUUGCAACUGAUGGAGUAGCUAAGUCAUCAACUUCUGGAUCGUCAUCAACUUCAUCACAUUCAAAGUCUUCGUCUCUUUCAACCUCAUCAUUUUCAACCUCAUCAGCAUCAUCUCUUUCAACAUCAUCGGCAUCUUCUGCAGCUAAAAACCCAUUUUCAAAUAUCUGAAUUUUCUUCCGUGCUGCAGAAAGUAUGGCCUCGGCAUCAGCAGGAUCCUUUCUGUAAGCAGCUCGUACGCGAUAUGUUGAAGGAGCUAUUCUUUCGAAAAGCUUAGUAUCUCUUGUCAAAGCAACAGAAAUUGAAGCUUCAGGAGUCUUGCUUGUUGUCAGGUCCCGAAGGCCAGAUUUCUUACAGAAAAGAACAAAUAACAGAAAGAGAAAAAAAAAAAAAUCAGGAAAGAGGGAGCAAAUAAAUCCCGAUACCAAAAAACUCAACUCUUGUCGCAAGACACACAACAGAGUUUCUGCUAACAUUAAAUGAAAUCACCUGAAUCUUGUCAGCAAGCUCUAACACUGUUAGUCCCUUGUUUCCCUCAAGUGAAAGCACAUGAAAAGCUGCAAAUUUUACAGUUCCAGGAGUCAACCGGUGUCUAGAUUUUCGUGGGGCUAGUAAGCCUUUUUCUUGCAUUAUUGCAAAUGCAUUUUCAGCUGCUGAACCAUUGCGAAGAUUAGAAAUUGCAUCCUGACAACCUUUACCCUGAAAUUACAAGUAAUACUGUGCGUUUUACAAUUUUUGGAAUUUUAUAUAUAUAAAAAAGCAUGUCUGAAUGUACUCUAUUGAUUGAGCAAAAUUUACAUACGGACAGCCACCUUUAAGGUGGUUUAAUAUGAAUGAAAAUUGAUACUGAAUUAGAACACGCCGCCCGGUCUGAAAGUCCAAGAUUUUAAGUCUUUGAGCCUUGUGCUAAUAUUACACUUCAAGCUAAGUCCAAACAACAUUCAUAUGGGUUCCUUAGUUAUUUAUAUUUUAGAGUUUUUUAGUAAAAAUAAAUUAAAAUUCACUUUUGUUGUGCUUAGUAUGCUAAGCCUGAACUACUACCUCAAUUCACCCUUUCAUAGAGUUCAACUCACAAAUCAAUACUGAGCGGAGAGAAACAUCUAUCAGGAGAGUAUGACCAUGUGGUAUUCCUUUUGUUUUUCAGUUUUUUCCUUUUACUCUUUCCUUAACUGAUGAAGGAGAUGAAUUCCUUUGAAAGAAAAGAUAAUAAAUAACUGAAAAGAGAACCUCAUCAUUAUCAGGAGAGUAUGACCAUGCGGUACUCCUUUUCUUCAACUGUGGCCCAAAUCCGGCAGACAGUGCUAGUUGCCGGAAUAUUUCUGGCCAUGUUAGCAGAUUUAAGUGCUGCUGCCAGUUUCGUAUAUCAAAGCCCCAUGCAUAUGCCUGAAACAGAAAGUAAAAUUCAAUAUAUUUAAAGAACAAUUAGGAAAAAGCAAUAAAAUGAACAAACAAAACAACUGCAAGCAUGCAGAGAGCGAAGAUUACUCCUUCAACAAUCUGUGGAUGUCCACCACCAGGAUUAGCAGCACCAUUUUGAUUUACUCCUAAUCCAGUAGAAGGAGUCCUUGCAACAUCUUCAAUAUCUUUUAUAAUCAACCUCAAGAGAGCAACAUGGAUCUCUCCUAACAACCUUGAAUCCUGAUAUCAAAAUUGUAUGGAAUUAAACAGCAGCAGAAAACAGAUGAAGAACAGUUAACUAGAAUGCACAAUUUUGAAACAAAAUAACUCAUUGGUGGCUCACAUAGUCAUGAAAAGCUUGAACAAACUCAUCAAGAGUAAAAGGCCAUAACUCGAGAACAUCAGCAAAGGUAAUCAAAAAUCUCCAAACCUGUCACCAUCACGAUACUCAAUCAUCAGAACCAGAGGCAUUAAUUCAAAUAUCAGCAAGAAAAUAAUCUAUUCAAAAUAACAUGCAUAUGACAAUAUUGGAGAGAGCAUUUAAUUUAUAACUGCACAGAAAAAACUGAAAACCAUGAGAAUCACAUGCCAAGAAGAGCAUAUUGAAGCUGGACCAUAGAUAUUACCAACCAUGCAGUGUGCAUAAGGACAUAAUGUAACCAUCAGCCAUACAAGAAUAUAAAAAAUAUACACAUAGUACUUCUAAAAUCUCAUGUAAAAGGAAAAAGGAAGGACGCACCAUUAGGAAGUUACCAAUAUUCUCCUCUGAGUUGAUCCACGGCUGAACUGCAAAUGGUCUUUUUAAUUGCACGGACUUAGGUGGGAAUGCAGCCAGAGAAUCUAAAGCAGAAAAUCACCUCAUCAGAAAAAUUGGUAGAGUUACUACAGAAAAUAAUGAGCCAAAACAAUGAAGACAAUCUCAUGGAGUUGAGGAGGGGAACACAAGAUGAAAUUCUCAGUGCAGAAUGCCAAGCAAUACCUACCUCUGAAUGCAUCAAGGUUUUGCAAGGUGUCAAGAUCAAUACAAAUGAUUGAGGAUAAACCCUUGCUUGCAGCAGCCAAUUCCAUUAGUUCUAGUUGCUCAUCCUCAAUAAGCUCCAUAGAUUCUUUAGCAAGCCUGCGUGCAGUAGCCUUCUCAAGUGCUGCUUUGCGUCUCACUGCCUCUCUCUCUUUGCGAAGCUCUUCCUUUUGCCUCCUUUUCUCAGCCUGCAAGAUAAACCCAGGAGAAGAAAAGCAAAAAAGACAAGGGGGGAUCAAGAAUUUAUCAUUUUAUGCUGAAAAACCAAAGAUACAAAACAAAUGCAUUACAUUAGUGGCUCCUCAAACUUACUCUUAUAUAUUCUUUCUGCAAAAACUUUUCCCUUCGUUCAAUUUCACGUUUUUGCUCACGCUUUGAUCUCUCUUCCUCUCGCUGCCUUUCACGCAUCAACCUCUCUUCUUCUUUUCGUCUCUCACGGUCAUGCCUUUCCAUUUCUUUCCUCAUUCGUUCCUCAUUCUAUAAACAGAAAAAUAUCAGCAUACAAACACCUAUAGUUCAGAACAAACAUUUUGGAGUGAAAAAUAGAACCUUUCUCCUCAGAAUAUCCUGUUUCUCCAGCUCCUUCCGGAUCCGAAUCUCAUGAGCUUCAACUUCUUUAGCAAUUCUAGCUUCUUCACUCUACAAGGGGCAACUAUUAAAAUAAUCCUUGAUUGAGAAAAUAUAGUUUUCGAAUAAAAUUGAACCGCACAAGUAUACCUUGCGUUUCCUCUCCAUUCUCAGCAUAGAGUCAUUAAUUUGACCAUCAGACAAUACAUUAGAGUUUUCCGGUGCAACAGUAGGAGGAUCACUAAACUGAGUAUUUACUCUAACAUUAGUAAAGGAGUCCCUUUGUGGCACACAGCCAUCAUCACCAGGAGAUGGAAAGGCCACUGCUUGCCUCUCCUGCUGAGACAGAAGACGAACACGCGACACAUGACCAUGACCAUGGACACCAUGAACCCUUGACAAAGGCUCAUUUCCAACUGCAAAUGAUGAAGCUCUGGCACUAGGACCAUCAAUUGGUGAAUCUUGAAAAUGAGAUUGUGCGGCUUGUCCAUAUGCAUCAGACCGAAUACUGGAGUGAUCUUGAAGAAAUGGAUAUUCAUGGAGAGCCCUUGGAGUUGCCUGAGAUGAAACACAUACUAAUUCAAAAUUACAAGUGGUGAUGCAAUUGUCUUAUGGUUAUUUGAUUGAAAUACAUUCACUUUCUAUUUCUAAACAACACAUCAUUUGAAAAGAGUAUGCGUUUAUCAGAGUUUCUUAACAGAAGGUUAUGGUAUACUGGCAAGCGGGAGAACAAAGUAGUGGUAUAUUUAUUCGCUAAAAGAAAAUCUAAUACCCAGAACUUGGAAAAUGAGAGAGCAAAUGGACGCUUCUCUCGUAUUUUUAGGGAUAAAGCCACAUAAGUUAUAAAGGAUGUAUCAUACUAAUAAAAAAAGAGCAAUACAUGUAUAUCACUUAAUGAUUCACCAGCAUAUCAUUGCACAUGCCAUCAUAUGGUGCAUAUAAAGUAAUAACUUUUAUCAAAGAAAAAGAGACGGACUUUAUUUGGUUUUGCAUCAUGCCGCUCAUAUUUGCCCUCCAAAGCAUGGGCAGCCCGCUUCUGCUGCUCUGCAACUGCUUCACCAAGCACAGAAACAAAAGGGUUAGCAGCAAACCGAUCGCAUACAAGAAUCAGUCAAACAAUAGGCAAUAAUAUGCUAGAUUAAUAAUGUGGCCUUUAUUGAGCAAUAAAUCAUAUGUUUUCGCAAUUUUUCUGAUUCCAAUGCAAUAAUUUUAGGAAAUAGUCCAUACUUUUAGACCACCCCCACCACCACAAGAUGAAAAAAUUUGGAACUCAAACUUCUUAACAUAAUCACCACAGUGCAUAAAGCCUCAAAGCAAAUGUGAAUGUUAAACUACACUAGAAACCAAAGUUAAACCAACUAAAAAAACCUUAAUUAUUAAGAAAAUUGGUGAACCAAGUAGCAAGUGUGAUCCAAAUGCAUCUGGAAACUUGUAAAGCCCAUGACUGCCAUAAAAUAAACAAACUUAUUGAUACAUUUAAACAUGGCAAAAAGAAAAGUCAUGAAAAUAAUUUCUGUUUAUCUUAGAGAUGGGAAUGCAAAAUACAAAUAUGCUCCGAGAAAAACAGACCAUCAUAAACUCACUAGACAACUACAAGCACAAAAUUCUCUGCAUAAUGCUGCAACGAAAUCCCAUAUAAGUCAAGUACAAGGCAUUGCUGAACUGAGCUGUACAAUCAAUAAGGGAACCCAAUAGUUAUACCUAUAGGUGCUCCGAACGCAUCUGGCGGCAACCGAUCGAACUCUACGCCGAGAACUGGCCCAUCUUCCCUCAAUGGCUCUCCCAAUUGAGCUUCCACACAAGCAAUGGCUCUAAGCUCCAAUAUCGACUGGGGUGACUCGUAAUACCUCCUCCUCAUUGGCACAUCGUCAGCCCCACUCCUGGAAACCACAUUCCGCAACUCCGCAUGCCCAAACGGGCUUGAGCCGGAGCCUGAACCCGACCCAUAAUCACUACCUGGCUCAGACCCGUGAGCCAAAUCAUCAAUAGGAGGCUCGGGCAAAGUGGGCACCGAUUUCCGCUGUUUCUUUGCUGGACCCCCUUCCUUUUUGUCCUUCAAUCUUCUGUGACAGAACCACAUCUGCAACUGCCGAUCAGUAAGCCCUAAUUUUUCCGACAGCUCCGCCCUUAUCGCCUCCGACGGGUAGGUCUCCACUGAUCAAAAACCCAAAAAAUAAAAGAAGCUUCAAUUUUCACAGACAGUAGCUAUAAAUUUAAAACAAAAAAAAGAAAAAAAUCGAGAUUGAACUUACAGGCAUAAGCUUUCUCGAGGGUUUCAAGCUGAAAGGGGGUCUUCAUCUGGCGCUUGGGCUUGCUCUGUCCCUCACUGGAAUUAUUAAAUUUACCAUUACUGUUGUUAUUUUCAUGAUUUUUAGUCGGAUUUUCUCCUUCGGAAGCACCCUCCAUUGAAGCAAGAUCAAGAUCUGGGCAGAACAAAGCUUCUUCCUUCAAGCCUUCAAGGCCCCAAACCUCGAAACCUCGAAACCCUAGAAUUCCCAAAUCCUCAUGGAGAGAAAAACAAAACAAAAACUGGGUCUUCCGAAAGCAAACAAACAAACAACGAAGAAUCUGAUUUCUCCUUUUCUCUCUCUCUAUCUCUAUAUCCUCUCUCUUUUCCUUUCUUUAAACAAAUACCGUAACAGUCAAGGAAAAGAUCAAGAAAGAGAGAGGCGUAGAAUUAUCAUGAUGGAAUAAUGAGAAUAACAUGAAUAAAAUAAAUGUGAAUUUCGGGGAUUGACAUGAAAAUAUGACAACAACAACAUCAAUAACAAGAAUAAUAUCAAAAAAUAGGAAAAGGCAAAAUCAGGAACAUAAAACCAACAGUCUUUCCUCACUCUAAUUCCACCUUCCAUAAUUUUCUUAUUUUUUUUGUUUUUCACUUUUCUAUUUCUAUUUUCUUUUCUUUCGGUCUUUGUUUUGUUUUUGUUGCCUUUUCUUUCUUUUUUUUUAAUUCGAUGGUACUUUCAUACUUCGUUGCGUCAAACGAUACGAGGCCCUUUUCUCAGUUUUAACGUUGCGUGGUUUGGUUGGGCUGGCUAAAAACACGAACCCACGUUCCAACCAACAAAAAUGAACUUCUUUUUAUUUUGUGUUUUGUGUUUUGGUUCCAGCGAGCGGAUGCCGAAAACUCUCUCUUCGUGUUUGUUUUUAAUUCGAUUGACUUUUCAAUUUUUUAGGUUGUACGAGUUUUUUCUUUCUUUUUUUUAUGUUUUUUUUAUUGAUGACUCUAAUGUUAUUGCAAGUGUGCGUGUGUGUUUGAUUUCGAAGGCUUCUGUCUGGUUGUUAAUUUAGGUUCUUUGUGAUCUUUGGAUGCGAUCUUCGGCUGCGAUGAUCGAGCAUGUCUUUCUGGUUUGUGUUGUUGCGGGCCCCGCUGUCCGCUUUGGAAAUCUUUGGGCUAGGCUUUCUGAGCUGGGCAUGUAUUAAAGUACAAAAAAGGGUCCGCCCACAACAAAUUUUAGGCAUGUUAUAUUUUCGACUUUUAUGUUUUCUGGCUUUUUUCUUCUUGAUAAGUAAAUAUGUUGGUAUAAUUUCUUGAUCAGAGAAAAAAACAUGUCGUUAUAAUUUUAACUGUUUCUGAAUGUUCGAGCAUUGCUCGAGAAGAGUUCGAGUAAUGCUCCAGGGUCCCAGAAUGCUCGAGUACAACUCGAGCGAUUAGUUUUUUAAAUCUUGGAAGAAAAAUAACUACAUGUCUUUAUUGUGUUAUUAAAAAAAUUAAUUUUCCAAAUUUCACAACUUCCAUACUAAAAGAGCACAACGAAAUACCAACACCAAUUAAUCAAUGAUCAUUGAAUGCCAGCAGAGACUUAGCUGCCUGAUUUGAAAGAUGCGAACAAGAUCAAAAUGUUCCUUUGGGGUCUUGGGCUCUGAGCUCGUGGCAAGCUUCUCACCAGUGAGCAAAUGGCUAGAAGACAUCAGCAGAGGAUAUCAUACAUCUUGCUCUAGCUGUAGUGGUCCACUCGAAUCUCUAACCCAUCUUUUGAAGGACUUGAGAGAUAGAGAGUACGUAGAGUUCGUAAGGUCCUUAUCCUUUACCCCUUUGCCGUUGGGUGGCUAAAUCUCAAUAUUCUCCAUUCCUAAGGCAAGAGUUUUUGGGUCUAGAGUGAGUUUCUGCCUUCUCAAUUUGGUCACAUGAAAGUAGAAUAUCUUUGAGCCACUUUCUAAAGUUCAACGCGAUUCUAAUAAAAACACUUAUGAGCAGAAAUGAGAGUGGGAGUGAGAAUGAACUUGAACAAAAGAAAUAAAUUCUCCGUGUUAAAUAUCAUGUGUAUAUUUCCUAUCCUUUCUAAUGCAUUACUUUACUUUUGAAUGAAUGAAGAUCUAAGCAAAACAUGUAAAUUGGCAGUUCAAGCAUGUCUCUAGAUACAGAUAGCAAUCUAUUCACUCACAUAUAAAAUCUCCAUUCUCUUGACCCUUUUUAGGCUUCCAUCCGUAGGAAGAGCUCAUUGUGAGAAAGAUAAAAAUUGAUACAUUAUUGAAUUCCAGUCCACAUGAGACCAUUGCAAAUUAGAAUGUCUUUGUGCUCUCAAUCAAUCGGAGAAAAAAAAACGUGGGAAGGGGGAAAUAAACUAUAACAUGGACAAUAGACAGAUACUCAAUUUGCCAUUUCUUCUGAAGGGAAUUUAUGAAAUUUACAAUGCAAGGUUCCCUCCAUGUCCAUUCUUCCCUUCUUCUCAUGCAGCUUUCCCUUGCUGGGUUUUAUGAACCAAAAAAAGGGUCAGAAGAGCAAUAAUAUUACACAGAUAAAUUUAUUUAAUGGAAUUGGAUGCAAGGGACUAACUGCCACAUGCAUGAGCUAAAUUUAGCUAUAUCUGACUUACUCGUUUCUCUUCUUCUAUUUUGGCCUUGAUGUAAGAGUAGAUUGCCACUCCUGCAAUCGCAAUGGCUGUCCCGAUACCAGUUUGUGUUGAAAUCUUGUUGCCUGUGAGCAGCAAGUAGCAAUUAGUUAUACAAAAGAAAAAGGGAAGUUGAAGAAGCAAAAGCAGAACCAAGCUGAAGAAAAGAAGAGCCUUACCAAAGACCAAGAUGGAAAAGCCAAUCACAAAUACACGUUUCAGCACAUUUCCAACUGCAUGUGUAAGAGGUGCCACUCUCUCCAGGGUAUUGGUGGCCAGCUGAUAAUUUCAUAACAGGAUACUGAUUAUUAACUUGGGCAACAUUUGAGUUAUUUUGAGAGGAUUAUCCUCCUACUAUUACAAAGCCAUAGAACCAUAAGUUACAAUAGAAAGUAAAGAAAACAAAUGUACCUGAUUAUAGAGAUGGUAGAACAAUCCCACCCAGAAGAGAUCAGAAACGAACUUGACAAGACCUACUUUAGCAAUUGCAUCAUUGAAGCCGUACUUAAUCAGUUGAGGCCCCUCUACCUGUGAUAUGAGAGAGGACAUUGAACCAAAAUUCAUCACAAUUUUUGUUUCAGUUGCACAAUCAAACUUCAAGGGUUCUCAAGUGUAAGUUUUACUCACGAUGAGAGCCGGUGGAAUGCAGACAAGAAGAGCAAUGAUCGAAAUAUAGGCAUAGAGAUUGGUACUGUCCAUAUCAGUCUGCAAAACCAAUAAAACGUUAUACAAGUAAGAAGCAAUCUUUAGCUCCCCAUGUUCUGUCCUAUUCAAAACAAAAUGCUAGCUAAAGUUCCAGAGCCACUCACCAUGGCUUUCUUUGAAUAGAUACUCCUGUAGGUAAAGGAGAUGUUUGAAAUCAUAGCACUAAUGAAGCCAGUCCAGUUGAAUGACAACUCAGUCAGCGAUGCCAUCGACACACCUUCAUUUUAAAAGUACGUAAAUACUAAGUGAGCAAAGACAGUCUGAAUAAAUUCUCAUGGCUCAUAGUUUUUGGGUAUCUCCAUGAUUUACAUUUUCCAUAGUUUUCAAUAGAAUGAUUGCAACGACGGGAUGAACAUAAAGAGAAGAGCAUACCAAGAACAACAGGAGCCAGGGACAGCCAUAGAGACAAGGGGAUUGAUUGUCCGAGAAUAAAUUGCGAAGCAGAGGCAUUGAAGAAUGGCUCAAGAGCUGCAACAAACAAAUUCAACGUCAAAAUGCAAUAAUUAAAAGUGCACUUGAACAAUUUUGGCCAUUGUACCAAACAUAUGAGAGCAUAAGAUUUGUCCUCCCACCUUUGAUGGUAUGUGUGAAGGAGACUGCAACGGCUGCAAAUGAGACAUUGCUGGUGACGUGGCCAAGUGCAUGGCACACGGCCACAGGGAUGAGCAGCUUCAACAGGUUUGAGUCAAUAGGCUGCACGGAGACGAGAAACACCAGUCAGUCACAUAAACAAGACAACCAACUGAACAGUGAACAGAUUGAGAUUAGCAUUAUGGGCCUGGGCCUGAAGUGAGUUCACUUACAGCGCGUUUAGGAAGGCCCACGGCCCAGCUUAUCAAACAGUACACCACUCCCACGCCCAAGUGCACAACCGACACAAAACUGCACACAAACCUCAAACCCACUUAUUCGACCCAAAAAAAAAAACCGCAAACCCACUUCAUCAGAAGUUCAGAACACAGACCGAAUUCAAAUGGCUAGAACCAGCUAAAUUACGCCUGAACAUGAAACACAUAUGCUAUCCUACGCUUUUUUAUUUAUUUGUUUACAAGAAUUAUAGGUAACGAAAAUUGAAAAUGGCACACUUACUAGGGAUACGGGAAGUAAUUGUAGAUCUUCUUGUUCAUGAUGUUGAAAAUCACAUUCAGAAAAUACCUGCCCGCCAAGGACGACUCCGUAAUUUCACAUACAAAAUAUUUCUCCCAAAAAAAAGCUUGAAAAGUUUAUUAAAAAACGUACCACAUGAAGAAGAAGAAGCCGGUGAGGAUAGCCGGGUACUUGUCGAAGAACCCGAGCGGCGCGACCUUCGCGUCCCUGUUAAGAGCACCGAGUCAGGCAGAAAAGGCCAAAAAGAAAAAAAGCAUUAGUCCGGAGGCCGACACGGGCGAGUCAGACCGAGUCGGAACGGAGGAAACGGACCUCACCCGGCGGAAUCGUUUCCCUCGGUCGGAGAGGAAGCGGCGGCGAGGCAAGGCCGGAGAAUCUCCCUCUUCAACGGCGAGGCCUCGAGCAGCAGCCCGGGGCGGAGUUGCCUCCCCCAUAUGAGGUUCCCGCCCUCGCUCACGGCGCCGAUCGGCCGAGCCGAGAAGAACGAAACGGCGGCGUUUUCCCUGGGAGAUGGUUUGCGGUGGCAGGGGAGGGCUCCGAAUGUGGUGGCGCGUGAUAGCACUCGCGACUCCAUGAUUGCUGGGGGAAUGAGAGUAAACUGAGAGAGAGAGAGAGAGAGAGAGAGAGAGUGGAGAAUGUGGUUUGGGAAGCUGCAGUGAGCUCUUAUUGGUGAUUCAGAGUAGACACACAGCACAGCAGAGACAGAGAUGAUGCGCACCGUUUUGGAGUGGGUGUUCGAGGGCGGUUAAUUGCUUUUGUUUUUGUUCGUCUGGGAUAUAAUCUGUUACGACGCGGAACAAGUUAAAUAAAAUGCAUCCACCAGUGAGAUUAGAUGAAGAACUUGAAAUGGUGAAUCGGAGGGUGUGGAGAGGUCGAUGAUGGCGGGAUAUGGUGAGGUGGGGGAGGGAGUAUGGGAGGUUAUGGUCGGUACGGGAUAUGUUUAUGGAGGAGAGUGAGUGAGGGAGAUAGGGGAAGAAGUUGAUAUGACUGUGGAGGGGGGUGGGGACAUCUUAUCCCCAGCGUAAGGCUUACGAGCAACGAAGAUUGGCAGUGUUUUGAAGCCUCUUAUCGAUUUUGUUUUCUUAAUGGCUUUUUUUUCUUUUUCUUAUAUGUGAUGAACUGUCAAAGCUGUCCGUGAUGUUGUUAUUUGCUUUUUAUUCACUGUUCUCACGAGAAGCCAACUGUUUGCCUCUGUACAAAAAUUAUUUCUGCAGUCCGUCCCAACCCAACUACCAGUCUACUAAAUUAAUUUCGUUUUCUAAGUGAAGAGGGAGAUUCAAAUUUGGAACCGAAAGAAGAAUAUCAUUACAUUUGGAGUAAAUUAGUGAUUAAAGAUAAUAGUUAACUUGGCUUAAGUAAAUACUAUUCCGGUCAUUGAGAGUACGGAAGAUGAAAUGCUUGAACCAAUUGGUAAUGUGUUCGAUUCUCCAUUGAAAUCAUCUAUUGUUUUUCGAAAUAAGAAACAAAUUAAAAUAGUGCAGGAAACUAAAAGAGUUCAAAGUUAAUGAUUAUGAGGAUACAACUAAUAAAAUGUUGGAUGUAUAGAUCAAAAUUAUUGUUUUAUGCAUCUUUUAUAACAAGUUGGUUUUCUUGGUGCAAUUGAAACCCCAAUAUAGAAGAACAUUGUCAAUUAAACUCCAACUAGCCAUUUAUUGGGCCUAUGACAGCGUAAAUUGUCGAUGGACCCGAUCCAUUUGUCUAUGGGCCUGAUUGAAGCAUUGCAUGUUCCCAUUUUGAUCCAAAUUGCCAAUGUCGUCGAGUGUUCGCGCCCUAGGCCGUCUAAAGCCUCUGCUGCUGAGCAUUACCAUUCAGGGACCGUCCAAGACGUCGGGAAAAUACGAUGAGUCUGAAAGAGAAAAACAAUUUCAUGAUAAUCAGUCCGCAGGUAAGGUUGCUGCUACUUCUGUUACAAUUAAAUUUCUACUUUCCCCUCAAAAUUCUUGUGUGAUUUAAAGUUCCCGCCUAAGACUGGUGUUACGGGACGACAUCUGUUUGAUGAAAUGCCCCACAGAGUUUAGACUAGGUGGCUUCUUAGCUUGAAUUUUACUGCUAAUCGAUUCAUGUUGUUCGUGGGUAGUUCUUUUUAUCUGGUUCUUGUCUCAUUUUGCUCUUAUGUUUAUAGAAAUGUAGAAAUUGAUUCAGAGAUUUGCAGGCAGAGCUUUUAUUGUGCAAAACUGAAACAUAAUUGGGAGUGAAUGAUAUUGUCUUAUUGAGAAAGAGUGCUGCCAAUACAAUGGGAAGCAAAACUUUGUUUAAAUGGUCGAAGCAAAUCACUACUUCCCAAGUUGAGCAGCUGAUAAAAGCUGAAAAGGACAUACAGAAAGCUAUUCUCAUAUUUGAUUCCGCAACAGCCGAGUACACCAAUGGCUUCCGGCAUGAUCACACCACCUUUGGUCUCAUGGUCGCUAGAUUAGUCUCCGCGAACCAGUUCAGGUCAGCCGAGGCGUUACUUGAUAAGAUGAAGGAGGAGAAAUGUAGUGUUACAGAAGAUAUAUUCCUCUCUGUUUGCAGAGGAUAUGGCCGCGUUCACAGGCCACUGGAUGCUGUCAGGGUCUUCCACAAAAUGGAGGACUUCCAGUGCAAACCAACCCAGAAAUCUUACAUUACCAUACUUGGCAUUCUUGUUGAAGAAAACCAGUUAAAGAUUGCUUUCAGGUUCUACAAGUAUAUGAGAGAAACGGGCAUUCCAGCUAGCGUUGUGUCGCUUAAUAUUUUGAUCAAAGCCCUUUGUAAGAACAGUAGUUCCAUGGAUGCAGCUCUUCGAAUAUUUUGUGAGAUGCCCAAUCAUGGGUGCACCCCAGAUUCAUAUACAUAUGGUACUUUGAUUAAUGGAUUGUGUAAGUUAGGAAAGAUUGGUGAAGCAAAAGAGCUCUUCAAUGAAAUGGAAACAAAAGGUUGUUUGCCCUCUGUUGUUACGUAUACUUCCUUGAUACACGGCUUUUGCCAAUCCAACAAUUUGGAUGAAGCUGUGGGAUUGUUUGAACACAUGAAAACCAAAGGUAUUACUCCAAAUGUCUUUACUUACAGCUCUUUGAUGGAUGGACUUUGCAAGGGUGGGCGUUCUUCACAAGCAAUGGAACUAUUAGACUUAAUGAUUCGUAAGCGCCAUAGGCCAAACAAUAUCACUUAUAGUACUUUGCUUCAUGGACUCUGUGAAGAAGGAAAGCUUCAAGAAGCUUUGGAGAUUCUAGACAGGAUGAAGCUUCAGGGCUUGAAACCAGAUGCAGGGCUGUAUGGGAAGGUAAUUAAUGGCUUUUGUAACAUUUGCAAGUUCCAGGAAGCUGCAAACUUUCUUGAUGAGAUGGUCCUUGGAGGAGUUUCACCUAACAGACUAACUUGGAGCCUUCAUGUAAGGAUUCAUAAUGCAGUCGUCCAGGGCUUGUGUAGUAGCGGCAAUCCAAAUCGAGCUUGUCAGCUGUAUCUUAGCAUGCGUUCCAGGGGUAUCUCCAUUGAUAUGAAGACAUUUGAUACUCUAGUGAGGUGUAUCUGUAAAAAAGGGGACCUGCACAAAGCUUAUCGAAUUGUUGAUGAGAUGGUGCUUGAUGGAUGUGUUCCGGAUGAGGGAAUAUGGAGUUCCAUGGUGGAUGGGUUUUGGAAUCGCAGGAAGGUGCGUGAACCUGCUGAGUUGUUGCAGGCUGAGCUGAUGAGUGAAAUGGUUGAGCCUGAAACAUAAAUCUGAAAGUUUUGAGCUAGUAAGUGCUCUUAUACACGUUUCAUUUAUUUUCUUUCUGGUCAUGAAAGUUUGUUCACCACAUUGCCUUUUCUUUUUCUUUUUAUGAAAUUAUAAGUUACUGGCUCAAAAUAUGACUACUUACGUGGCACAUGAUUUAUAAAGCACUUGCUUAGUAUAAUGUCAUUGGUAACUGUCCAUAGUGAAUUUAACCAAGAACGUUGGUAACUGUAGCGCUAGAAAGGAUUUUUCUGUAUAUUAACCAUGAAAUAUAUUUGGUUGACAAUCUUGAAGUAACUUGUUCUUCCUAUUAUUCACAUACCUCACUCAUGUACUACACUCUUUGGCAUAUAAGAGAAAUAAGUAUGACAAGCAUUUGUUAAAUCAGUACCAGAUACAAUCUAUCCUGUCAAGAAUCGAGGUUUUUAAAAGCUAUUUCUUUAAAGGUGGAACUAGGAUUUACAAAAAAAAAUAGAAAUCAUAUAACUGACAUUGACAGAGCUUGGAGGAAGCUGAUAUGGAAGAAUGAAUAAAUAACGUUGUGUGCAGUCCACAAUUUUAAGGAGCACGCAGGCAAAUAUUUCUUAAUUAAAAAAAGAGGAGUUGUUAAUUUACAGACAGGGGGAAGCCAAUUCCAUGGCGCUUGGUUGGAAAAACAACAAACAACAUACUGCAAAUGACACCAAUGCCAACUGGCAAUGCUGUGAGAAUCUCCUGAGCCUUAUCCGACGGGGUUGGAUAGAAGCAAUUCACUACAUUCUGAUCAAAUAGUGCAACAGCUGCAAAUACAAGUAUUGACAUAAAGGCAUGGAGGAAAUCUAUAAACCGCAGUUGGAAAUUUGCAUCAACUUCGGGUGAAAGGGUGGUUGACCCAUCGAUGAUCCAUAAGCCUCGGAAUGUAGCAAAGCCAUAACAGACAUUUCCAUUCUUGUCUCUAUAGCUGUCAGUGAAGCUCAGUAGAAAACAUGAAGCUCCACAGAGGGCUACAAGACCAGCAGUCAUGGACCGGCUGACUGAGUCACAGUUGCCUUGGUUUGAAAAUAUGGGUGCUAGAAGCUGAAAUGCAAGAACUGUUCCAGUUGGUAAAAGAUUGGCCAAAUGAGCUGUGCUUUGAAACGUCUGGCGAAUGGCUUUCUGUAUCAAGGUUCUUUCCUCCUCUGUUACGGACUUUGGCAUAUCUUGCAAGAGGGGAAGUUUUUGUUCAUCAUCAGGCCAGUGCCGGGAUUCCUCAGCUUGUAUCUUGAUCUCCAUUGACCAGAAACGCUUGAAGCUUCUUUUCCCUUAAUGUUUUGGUCUCUUUUCUUGGUUUGUUUUAGAAUUUUUGUUGGGAGGAACAAUGUUAUAUAGAUAGAGAAUAAAAAUGAAAAGAGUGGAGGUAAAGGGAGGGAAGAGUAGUUAGUCAUGCCUUGCAAGGAAGAGAAACCUAAAACUGGAACUGAAAUUGAGACAAAGCUGCUACCAAAUGGGAUUUUUGGUUUCGUGCAUAGAGCUUCAAAGUAGAUGAAAGAAAGCUUUUUGGUAUUAGACAAAUGUCCAUCAAGAGGCUUCAUUUUUGUGCUAACUGCCCAUCAAGCUUUCAUGACCGUUAUAGACCAUGGUUUUUAAAGUUGUCACAAAGAGGGAGGGGUGAUGUGAUCAGGUUCAAGAAGUUUGGGGCUUACAAGGUUUUUGUUGUUUGUUGCUGAAACGCAAAGUGUAUUGCUUAAAGGCAAGAGGCUUCAUAAGAGGUAUUCUUUACUUUUAUUAUUAUUACUUCUAAAUUUAGAAGUGGAGACCCACACUUCUUUGGUUUUAGGCUUUGCUUUUUAGUUUUUCCUUCAACACAUGAAAGUCCGUAUUGGAUGAGAUAUUAGGCUUCACUUUUAAGGA